rnacentral:lncRNA from 1 species
UCCCACAUAUCAAGGUGGCCCGGCUCAAGUCGAUUCGGAAGGUGAUUCUGGCUCUGAAUGUGAGCACGUCCAAGUUACACAUCUCCCGAAUCGUGUAAAGAGCAGGAAGAAGAGGGCAUGUCCUUAUUCGCGUAUGGUGGCAAGUGAGAUUGCUAAAAACAAGGCACUUGUGCGCAUGGUGGAAAUUUUUGAGGCAAGGGAAAAGAGAGUGACAAAUCAAUGUGCAAAAGAGAUUGUGGAUCCAACAAGACAGGAGAUUCACGACAUGAUGGCCAUGGUGAUUGCAGACGGAGCCAAACCUGGGAGUGAUGAGCAUUUCUAUGCUUCACAUCUUUUGUUGGAAAAGAAGAAUCGUGAUGUUUUUACCUCGUUUAAGGGUCACAAACCUAGUGAGAGGCUUGCAUGGAUAAGGAGGAUGUGGGAGCUCAACAGUAAGUAGAAUCUCUAUGCUUUAAAUGCUUUGAACCAAACUAUUUGCUUUCAACUUGUACCGUUAUGAACUACUCCCUCCGUCCCAAAAUAAGUGACUCAAAAGUGACUCAACUUUAUACUAAAGUUAGUACAAAGUUGAGUCAUUUUUGAGUCACUUAUUUUGGGACGGAGGGAGUAUGUUAUUUGAUUCGAACAUCUCUUUGUUGCUCGUAUUCAAGGCAAACCGGUUUGAAACAACUAUGUGUUGGCAGUUCAACAUACAACUUUAGUGCAGGGGAUUAUAGAUAUUGUAGCGCACAACCCGUACAAUAAUCUUAGACUACAAUUUCCGAAAAGAACUACAUGGUUGAUUCUGCACAAAGCUGGUUCUGUGGGCAAUUUUUCAUAAUCUAACUUUGGAGAAUAUGGAGGGUUCACACAACACUCCAGAUUAGCAAGGGGGAGAAGGGUGGUUGAGUGGUUGAGUGGACCAACAUGUCGUUUAUAGUGUCAGCCAGAAUUUUAGGCUGCUAGAUCUUCAUCCAACGUUUGGGAUCGCGUGGCAAAUGUUCUUCUUCAACCUCUAUUUUCUUCCUCCCCGCGUGGUUUUCCCUCUCCCAUGUCGUCCCCCAGCCCCAUCCGCCGACUUAUGCCCAUGCGUGCUGCCUUGCCCUCCCCACACGGUCGUGCUUCCCCGCGGCCCAAGGCCAUCCCUCUCAGGGCUCCCCCUGACCUCCUGUUUCAGCGUUGACAACCCCCACACCUGCCAACCUGCUUCCUCCCCUCAAGACGCCACAGCUUACUACCGCACACGAACGUCGUCUCCGUCCCCCGCGAGGUCCUAGUUCGGCCUCGCGGGGGUUGACACUGGUCGCUGUGCUCCUCAUGGCCCCCAUCUUCUGCUUCGGUGGAAUCAACUAGCUCUUGUGAAAUUUGCAGUUACCUGAUGUUUAGCAAACCCAUUAAUUAUAAGAUUGGAUACGUUGGCCAUGGUGGUGCUUUCAAUGGGGAUGCCAUGACAUCUCAACAGCAUCUUGUCCAUGCUAUCGGGGUGCCAUGAAAGCACAAGCCAUGGGAGACAUAUAAUUCGAAUCAUAGGUUAGACCAGGUAGUGAUGGUCAUGCACAGAGAUGAGUGUUAGAAAUACUACUUUAAGAUUAUUGUAAUAGGAUCAUUUGCCUAGCAUUAAAUCACCCACAUAUGAUUAACAGAGAGGUUCGUGAGAUCUUACAGGCUUUCUCGUUGCAGGCACAACAUAGCCCAUGAACUCCAGUGGCGAGGAUGAGCAACAGCAGUGGUGCCGCAGUGAUGUAGUCGUGGAGAGGCAGCAACUCAUCCAGGAGCUUCGCCGGUGGCAGCAGGAAGCCGCCGACACAGCCUUGCGGCGGCCAGAGGUGGAAACGGCCUUCUGAUCCCCUUAGCUCCCCUUUUUUAGGAUCGAUAGUUGAGGUCAUGGUAAAACUUACCUGUACGUGAUGGAUCACACAUACAGGAGAGGAAGUACCUCUCUUUUAUACGUGGGGCUAGGGAACAGGGACCGAAACCAAUAGGUUGUUUGCACCCUGGAUCACAGUGUGUGCGUGAGAGCGGUAUGGUGGGCCACACCCCAACUUUUCUCUCGAUUGUUAGACGAGAUCAAUUCCAACAAUGAGUACCCAUGAAGUGAAAGGUUCUCACGUCAGUUCCUUUCCUCGAAACUGGAAGGAAGCACUCCUCAUCUAAUAAAACAAGAACAUCAAUAAAGGAGGAUCAUAUGAAUUCACUUGAUAUCACAGUUGGCGCAAGAUGCCUCCCUAACUUGCUAAUCGUUCUGAUUUCCUGUGGUGGAGCUCCUAGUCAAGGUUCGUGUUAUCCGGCGAUCUCUUGGCUUGCAUUGACCCAAUAUCUCGCCCCUUCUAUCGGAGCAUGCAGUCAUGCUAUGACACUCAUUGAUUGCGGAUUCUCCUGUAUCACGUUGUGGGGAUCGAAACAGACGGGUGCUCUCGGUAGCUCACAAAGUAUUGGUAUUGUGAUACCCACGGAUGACACCCCACAUCUACUUGUGCCUCUUGUGGUGGUGGUGCCAUAGACUGCUGGCUGGGAUGAGCCUCGUCAUGGGCACCCAACUUUAUCAUCUUUCUUUCCCCCUUGUUACUUGUAUGUUUUUUGCCCGAUUCUUUUACAAAAGAAGUCAUUUUUUUCAGUUUUCGAUCUGGUUUCCCUUAUAAAAUGAAUCAGUCUCUUGGCAUAAAUGCCCAAUUUGAGUAAUAUAUUCGGGUUGGGGAACUCCUCCCUCCCCUGAUUUCUCAAAAAAGUUCGCUUGAUAUUGAAAUUAUCAACAUACAAUGAUGAGACUGGUCAACAAAAUAAUACCAUCAAGUUCAAAGAAUAUAUUUGGUUGAAGAAGAACCGGAACAACAUACAAAUCAGCACUAAGUCUUAGCGCGACUUGCAUUUGCUGCCACAUGAACGAACAUAAACACUCCAUGAGAUAGACCAUACAAAGAAGGAGAUUUGCCUUAGCCACCAUUCGCAUCAAAUUUGUAAAGUAGUUUGGUUAUUUGCAGUGUUUUAGCCUUUAAUCACCACCGAUGGGUACAUGCGUGCAACUUUUUGCAGAGUUCAUGCUCCACCCACCUGACCUCCCAUUCCUUUUCAAUUCAUCUCCAAAUUAGAAUAUAGUAUAUCUUUUGAACUGAAAGUCUAAACCAUGAUUCGUUUGCAUAUUCAUGUUUGUUGCAACGAGUACCUUCGAACAAGACCAAUUUCGAAAAUUUUGAGAACCUUUAAACUUUUACCAAAUUUCAAAUAUUAAAACUUGAUAGUUGCAAGUUGCAAUAUCAAGUUUUUACUAAGUUUCACUAACUUUUACCAAGUUUUAUUCGCUUUUAGGGUUUAGGGUUUGGGGCUUAGGGCUUUGGGCUUGGGCUUUGGGUUUAGGGGCUUAGAGCUUAGGGUUUAGGGUUUUAGUUUUACAUUUCGAAACAUGGUUGAUUUAUCGUCAUUCCUAUAACGUUGGCACAAGUGUGUUAUCCCUUUUGAAGGCGUUUGCCGCAAGAUGGCGACUUAGUUGCAUGUGUCUUUUUGUUAGAUCUUGUGUCUUUGUUGGCCUUUAUGCACUUUGUUAUAAGGUAUUUUGGUCUCGUUGCCUUGCUUUUAUUUAAUAAGAUAAUGGCCGUGUGCAUACUAUGAUGCGAAGGUCAGUUGGUAUAACCUUCCCUUCAGAAGGGAACAAAAUCAUGUUAUUUUUUCUUUGAUAUACAAUUACACUGGAUUUCAUAGAAACUUUUUCAUCCGUUGUAAUUCUCUGAAGGGAAAAAAAUGCUUUCUUUGUACUACAUAAUCAAAUAUCGAAGAUGAUGUGACACUCUAAUCCUGCAUCCCCGAAUCAUGCAAAUCAAAUAGACCCUGAUUGAUGUACACAUUAGUAGUACAUGAUAGCUCUGAAUGCAUGGGCCCAAAUGGCUAAGCAAUCUUAUUGCAACCAAUGGUGUAGGUAGUGGCUAUGCAUCUCAUAGCGAGCUGCCAUUGGUGCAAGCAGGGUCUGGAGCCAUCAAGAAGUCCAGCAUGAUCUUGUUGAACCGAGCCGGGUCCUCGAGCUGUGGAGCAUGGCCCGUUUUCUUGAUGAUCUCCACUCUGGCUUUCCCAUCCAAAGAGCUGAAACCAAAGCGGAAAGAUCAGUACGUGACCAAUAUCUCAACGGAGACCGCCUGAUCAUAGAGGAAAUUAAGCACUCCUAUAGUACACGCGGUAAAAAAUGGUCCGUGUAGUAAAUGAUUUACACAUUUAUACGAGUACCUCUGGAUUCCAGAGGCCUUUUCGACGGGGAACAACUGAUCAUGCUCUCCCCAGACAAUCAACACUUCCUGCAUAUACAACGUCCCAAAAAGGUUAGGUGAGACAGAGUGUCUCAGUAAAUGCGGUAUUAGGUGAACAUACACACACGAAAAUACCUGAGACAAUGGUGUGACUUGAAACUUGUCGGUGCCGACGGUGAUCCCCUUGAAAAGAUGGGUGAGCUGCUCCCUGUUGUCCAUGAACAGUUUCUGACAGGAGGCAACAAGAUCAUCUGGUUCAGUGCUAUUCCUGUUCCUUAUCUCAGACCAACUCCACCACACGACCCUAUCCUGUCCGCCCCCGUCCGUUUGAGGUAAAAGGGGCAAAUAAGACGGCCCAACGCGCGACGGCCCGGACCCAUUUUGUCCGUUUUGUGUCCGGCCGACCCAUUUCGAGCGCAAACUUGCGCCAGUUUUGGGUCGCGGCGGACACCAAACGGACGCGCGCCUCGUCCGCGUCGGGGCCGCGUGGCAGGCGGCCACCUACCUCCCACCCGCCCACAUCAAUGCGCACGGGCGGGCGGCCCCACCUGUCAUCCGCACGUUGAAGGGUCGCCGUCCUUCUUUAAGUGGAAACCGUGGACCGGUCGUCGUCCACACUGCCGCAGGCCACCCCGCGGCCUCCUCGAAACCCGACAGCCCCAUGCCCAAACCCUAGCCAAGAACUCGCCGGCCGGCCGCCCGCAGCCAUGGGGCUCUGGAACUACGGCCGCAAAGGCAAGUACGACCGCGAGGCUGGCUCCUCGUCGGGGCGUCGCCGCGGCUCGGUGAAGAAGGAGGAGCCGGCCUCGCCAUCGCCACCACGCCGGGCCCCCUCGCCACCCGCGUUCUCCAUCGCCCCCGCGUCCGCCGGCGAGCGCGACCGGCACUACAUCCGCGCGUCGGUGUGCCGCCGUUAUUGGAAGACGAGGAUGCCGAUCCCCUGGAGCGACGCCCACCUCCCCAACAACUGGCACCUGUCAGCCGACCGCGUGCCGAUCCUGCCGGUCCCGGCGACCGGCCGUGCGCGCCGCGAGGAGAUCGAGCGCCGCCGCCGCCUCCUUCCGGACGACCUCUACUACGACCCCAGGUACGCCCCCGACUCGCCAUUGUGGGACACUUGGUUCCACGAUGAGCAUGACACGCGGCGGGCGUCCUUCUUCGCCGGCACGUCGACGGGGCCACGCCCAGAGCACUGAGCGGCUGCUCCCCAGGAGCGCGGGCGUAGGCUGGUGCGUGGCCUCACGCCCACGCCUUCGCCGUCGCCAUCUCCAUCGCCACCACCACCUCCUCGCAUGACGGCGGAGGAGGAGGCCUGUCUCGUGCAGCGUGUCAUGGAGGACUCCAUGAACACGCACGACGAGCGGCAAAUGGGACGGCUUGGAGGAGGCCAUGGCACUCUCUGCCGCCGGCGACGUGGCCUUCCCGGAGCUGCAGAUGGCGGCCUUGACGGAGGAGAGGAGGGAGGACGCGAUGGAGGAGGAGUCGUCGGCCGCGUUCCAACAGCUAAUGGGCCAGGGGUGGGCCUGGUCCUGCACUGCUCCGGAGAUGGCCGUCGGUGUGGGCGUGAACUGGCGCGCCACUCCGCCGCGGUCACCGGAGCGGGAGGCGUCGCCACGGGAGGAGGUGGUGCAGGCACCUCCCUCCGUCCAGCCCGCCCCCUUCUACCACGCACCGCCGGCCCACCUGUGGACGCCGCCGGACUACGUCGACCUCGUCAGUGACGACGACGACACCGGCGGCCGCUGAAGACGUCCACGGCGACGGUAUCGACGGGCACGGGCAGGAGCGCGCCGGCGGCGACCGUUUUUUUANNNNNNNNNNNNNNNNNNNNNNNNNNNNNNNNNNNNNNNNNNNNNNNNNNNNNNNNNNNNNNNNNNNNNNNNNNNNNNNNNNNNNNNNNNNNNNNNNNNNNNNNNNNNNNNNNNNNNNNNNNNNNNNNNNNNNNNNNNNNNNNNNNNNNNNNNNNNNNNNNNNNNNNNNNNNNNNNNNNNNNNNNNNNNNNNNNNNNNNNNNNNNNNNNNNNNNNNNNNNNNNNNNNNNNNNNNNNNNNNNNNNNNNNNNNNNNNNNNNNNNNNNNNNNNNNNNNNNNNNNNNNNNNNNNNNNNNNNNNNNNNNNNNNNNNNNNNNNNNNNNNNNNNNNNNNNUAUUGCUUUUCUGAGACGGACGUGAUUUGGGGUGCGGCCGCGCGGUGGGCGCACGCACAACCCAACAGACACAGCCGGACACGGGCGAACCCAUCGGCGCCCCAAAGGGACAAAAUCCGGCCAAUCCGGACGUCCGUUUGGGGUCGUGCGGUGGAGUUGGCCUCAUGUCCCCGAAGGGUACUACUCUUGGUUACAUCUACCGGCUCUACUGCCAUCUUUCGGGGGGCAAACCUCCUUUUCCAAAAAAAAAAAAAUCUACCGGCUCUACUGCCAUCUUUUAAGACCGAAAACACAGCUGAAAAAUAUAGGUGAAGUGGUGAAGUCCAAGGAUUCCGUAUUUUUCGAGGGAAGGGAGAAGGCAAGAGCACGAACGCUGUUGCAUCGGCGUUACUGCAGUGCGCUUGCGUUGUCUGUUUCGAUCGGACGUAUAAAUGCUUACGAAAUCUGGCAACAAGGAAGUAAAUGUUCACAUUACCACUAGUAGAUUUGAUUGUUAGGCGGGCAGGAGGUGUCGCCUAGGCCUAGUACAGCGUUGUGCUUGGAAGUUCUGGUGUCAGUUGAAGCCUCACAAGUCACAACACAAUGUUCUUCUGGUUUCCAAGUUGAAGCGUGCUUCUGGUUUCCCAGGUUUUGCUUUUGUCCCGGCAAGAUGUGAAACAUAAAAUUAAAAAAAAAAACGAUGCACUGCUGACUGCCGCAUCUAUACUAGUAGUUUUUUUUUUCGUGAUGGCACCUAUAGUGUGUGCGGCAGGAUGAUAGGCUGACCUUGUUGACUGGCUUUUGCUUGCAAAUAACAUUCGAGACUUUCACUAAAAAGAAAGUCACAAGUGGCAUCUGUACACGCACGCACCUGGAUGAAGUCCCGGAGGACGAAGUCCGGCGUCAUCAUGGCCGGCGGGGGGCGGUACACGGCCAUCUCCAUCAGCCUCCUCAUGGCGGCGGGCUCGGCCGGCAGGAGCAGCUCGUGCGCGCCGCUCCACCCUUCGCCGGCCCUCUUCAGGAAGGCGCGGUCGUCGGCCGCCGUCUUGAGCAGGUCGGAGCUCGCGAUCACCACGGGGCCCACCCUCCGGGGCCCCGCCGCGCGCGCCAGCCAGUAGGCCACGAACCCGCCGUAGCUCGUGCCCGCCACGGCCACCCGCUUGCCCUUCAGCCCCUCCACCGAGUCCAGCAGCGCCGCGAGCGCCGCGGCCUGCGUGGCCUCGGACGGCGGCGGCGCCGAGGGCGAGUCCCAGGAGCUGCCGCCGAAGCCGAGCAGGUCCGGGACGAUGACGUGGAACUGGCGGGACAGCGGCCCCACCUGGCAGCGCCACUGCCAGGUGGCCCGAGGGCCGAAGCCGUGAAUGAGCAGCAGUGGCGGCAGCCGCGGCUCCCCCGCCGGCGCCCAGUAGUGCAUGGUGCAGGUGCCCGACGAGCCGCCGUCGGGGUAGGGGAGCGUGACCGAGUGGGGGCGGAGGCCGGCGGCGAGGAACUCGCGCCGGGCGAAGUAGUCGAUGAGCGGCACGACGCUGAGGCUGGCCCCCAUGGUGGCUCUAAGCGCCCCUGGCCGAUCAGGCAGAGCAGCAGCACGGCCGCUGAUGCCGCGUCAAGUUCUUGGUGUGCAGCUGUGCAUGGAAAGAGAGUGAGAACGCCACUGAUGUAUAGCGAUGUGCUGGUGGAGCUUAGCUUAAAGGUAGGGGUUCGUUCUGGUGGGAGAAAGGGAGGGUUCACAGCAUCCCGGGAUUGCAAGGGAAGAAGGCCGGUGGUUGAGUGGACCUUGAUUAUACCAUCCGAAUAGUCGGCUAUGGUGGCGCUUUCAAUUGGGCCUCGAUGACAUCUCAGCACUCAGCAGCAUCUACACUCGCCAAACCGCCAUGCUGUGUGAUAGAGGACUAUGUCCCUGUUAAACAGAUACAAGUUGAGCUAGAUUAGGCAAUGAUAUGCAGACGAGAAAUGUAGCCGUCAAGUGGAAGAUUCCGGAUUCGUUUCUUUGGACCGGAAGGAAGCACUGCACUGCACUCGGCAAAAGAAGAAGAAGAAGAACAAUAAAAGGUUGUUUGCGUUCGCGUGCAAUACAAACUGUGAAGUUAUGUAUGCAUCAAGUGGGCAGAUUGCAACAAAAUAACCCCAAAAUCAGCAUCAAAGUAUAUUUGGUGUAGGCAAGAACCACCCAACGAUUAAGAAGAUGCGGCCUGAAGCUUGACGCGACGUGCACUUGCAGCCACGGGAAAGAACAGAAAACAGUCUGUGAGGCAGGCCAGCAGGCAACCACACAGAAACAAAACAACUUUACGUAGUAGUACUCUUGUUCCAGCUAGGACAUGGCGUGGCGUAGACGCACUCAUGAACAAGCUUGCAAAGUCGCUGUUGCAUGCAAACUGUUAGACUGUAUAGUCUCUGUAGUUGUAUACGUACAUAUACGUAUGAUGUAACUUGUAUCCGUUUGUUAUAUAUAUGUGAGAUAGGCCACCCCUAGAGGGUUGAGCCGGUUCCCCCAACUCUAUUGUCUUACAUGGUAUCACGCUAGGUCAACACGCUUCCGCUCAAACCCUAAACCCCGCCGCCGUUUGUCUGUGCGCCGCUGCCGCCGUCCCUGAGAUCGCGCCGCCGCUGCCCCAGCUAUGUCGGGCUCUGCCGCCUCCGGCUCCCCCAUGGCUAGCUUCUUGCCGGCCUCUCUCGCGGCCCUCCUGUCCCGACCCAUCGACGCCGCUGCGGUCUCCACCGCCCCGAUCGAGACGAGGAGCCUCGGGUCCUUUUUCUCCUCGUCUCCGGGGCUCCCGAUCGUGCCGUCUACCGCGGGCGCUCCCUCGUCCGAGACUCGCAGCGACGCGCCGCUCGCCCCGAGUGGGGGCCAGCCGCCGAUCGCCCCGUCUCCCUCGCCCGCUUCCCGCAGCGACGCCCCGCUCGCCCCGCCUGGGGGCCAGCCGCCGAUCGCCUCGACUGGUGGGGGCUCGGCCCUCACCCUGGUGGCGCCCCCGUCGGCCAUGAUGGCGGGGUUUGCUGCUGCGGGCUCGGCCUCUUCGUCAUCUGUUCCUGCAGUCGCGACGGUGGCUGCAACCGCGGCCUCUGCCUCUACGGUGUAUCCGCCUCCGGCAGUCUACUCCGCGGGCUCCUCGCCGCCGCCGCCGUUUCACUUUGGGAACCUCAUCACCAUCAAGCUGUCCGCAGACAACUACAUCUUCUGGCGUGCGCAGGUUCUUCCGCUUCUCGGGAGUCAUUAUCUCCUGGGCUACGUCGACGGUUCUCUCCCCUGUCCCCCUGCGCUGGUGGAUAGCGUGCACGGCCCGGUCUACAAUCCGGCGCACCGUGUUUGGACAGGGCAGGACCAGGCGAACCUCUCCUCCAUCCAGGGGUCGCUCACUCCGGCGGUUGCCGGACUUGUUGUCUUCGCCAAGACUUCUCAUGAGGCAUGGACCAUCCUCGAGCGCUCGUUUGCAGCGCAGUCGCAGGCCCGUGUCUCCGCGCUUCGUCGCCAGCUUGGUGAGUGUCAAAAGCUGGAUUCUACGGCCACCGAGUUCUACAACAAGGUCAAGGGCCUUGCCGACACGUUGGCCUCCAUCGGCCAGCCCCUCACUGAUUCCGAGUUUAACUCGUUCAUUGUCAAUGCUCUCGAUGAGGAGUACGACGCCUUGGUCGAGAUCAUGAACGAGCGGGGCAACUCGAACCCCAUGAUGGCGCAUGAGGUCUUUUCCCGCCUCCUUCUCACGGAACAGCGGGUCGAGUCGCGCCGCUCCAGGGCCAGUGGGGGCUCCCUCUCGGCCAACGCCGCCACCAAGGGUGGCCGCCCUUCUUCCUCAUCCAGGGCCUCUUCGGGGCUGCCAUCGCCGCCUGCAUCGGCCCCCCCUCCUACCGCGACAUUACCGGGGGUUGGUGGCAAGCGCGUAUGUCAGCUGUGUGGCAUUGAGGGGCACUGGUCCUCUAAGUGCCACAAGCGCUUUCAGAAGAGCUUUCUGGGUCUUGGCAAUGAUGGCAAGGACACGCGCAAUUUUGCGCGUCAGGUGGCCAUGGCGGAUCGCCCAGUGUCCACUAAGCAGCAGGGGCAUACUCAGUCCUACUCUGUUGAUCCUCACUGGUACAUGGACUCUGGGGCCACGGAGCAUCUGACGAGUGAGAUGGGCAAGCUCCAUACUCGUGAACCCUACCACGGCUCCGACAAAAUCCACACUGCCAAUGGAGCAGGUAUGCAUAUAUCUCAUAUUGGUCAAGCAUCUCUUCUCACUAGGCAUGCAAAUAGGAGUCUUCAACUUCGCAAUGUGCUUAGAGUUCCCUCUGUGACACGUAAUCUUCUUUCUGUUCCUAAACUUACACGUGAUAAUAAUGUGCUUUGUGAAUUUCAUCCUUUUGAUCUUUUUAUUAAGGAUCGGGGCACGAGGGACAUUCUUCUUAGCGGGCGGUUGUGCCAGGGACUCUAUCGUCUGGAGCAUCCUGCAGUCGCUCGCGUGUUCAGUGGAGUUCGGGUAUCUCCGUCACAGUGGCAUGCUCGUCUUGGUCACCCGGCCACACCUAUCGUUCGUCAUGUUUUGCGUCGUCAUGAGCUUCCUAGUGUGUCCAGUAAUAGAGAUGUAGCAGUGUGUGAUGCUUGUCAGCAGGGGAAGAGUCAUCAACUUCCUUUUUCAGAGUCUAGUCAUGAGGUGAAACAUCCUUUAGAACUUGUAUUUUCAGAUGUAUGGGGUCCUGCUCAGACUUCUGUCAGCGGUCAUAAUUAUUAUAUCAGUUUCGUUGAUGCUUAUAGUCGUUUUACCUGGCUUUAUCUUAUUAAACGCAAAUCUGAUGUGUUUGAUAUUGUUGUUCAGUUUCAAAAACAUGUUGAACGUCUUCUCAAGCACAAAAUUGUUCAUGUUCAAUCCGAUUGGGGGGGCGAAUAUCGCAACCUCGACUCCUUCUUUCAGUCGCUUGGGAUAGCUCAUCGUUUAGCAUGUCCACAUACACAUCAACAGAAUGGUUCUGUCGAACGUAAGCAUCGUCACAUUGUUGAAACUGGUCUUACUCUUUUGGCCCAUGCAUCAGUUCCGUUUCGAUUCUGGAGUGAUGCUCUCACCACUGCAUGUUUUCUCAUAAACCGUACUCCCACUCGUGUCUUGAAUAUGAAGACUCCCGUUGAGGUUCUCCUUAAUGAAUAACCUGAUUAUACAUUUUUUAAGGUCUUUGGGUGCGCUUGCUGGCCACAUCUCCGCCCAUACAACAAGCGCAAGCUUGAGUUUCGCUCCAAAAAGUGUGUUUUUCUAGGCUAUAGCUCUCUUCAUAAAGGGUACAAAUGUCUUCAUGUUCCCACCAAUCGUGUCUACAUAUCCCGGGAUGUCGUGUUUGAUGAGCAUGUUUUUCCAUUUGCCAAGCUUCCUGUGUCCACUGUUGAACCACCCUCCUUGCAUUCAUCCUCUGUUGCUGCUGACCAAUUGGAUGAUAUUGCAUACUCUCCUAUAUUGUUGCCUAACCAUGGUGCAGGCACUGGACGUGGGGCGCUUGGAAAUUCUGGAGGCGCCAGUGGCUCACGACGAUCAUGGUGAGUUGCAUGGCCUCGGCCCCCAUGCCCAUGCACGUCCGGUCGAUCUUCCCGCGACGCAUGCUUCUACGCCCAUGGACUCUGGGUCGGCCUCGCCGCUUCGGCCUGUCGCGACUACCGCACCAGAGGAGUCUGGGUCGGUCUCGCCUAGGCUGGUUUCCUCGCCAUGCAGACCGGUGGCCCCGUCGGCCUCGACACACCCGGCUCCUGAGCCGGCCUCGGUGCCAUGCAGCCCGGUGGCCCCGUCGGCCUCGGCGCCCCUGGCCUCGCUGCGUUGCUCGCCGCCCUCGGUGCCUCUGGCUUCUGAGCCAGCCUCGCCACCUUGCUCGGUCACGCCGGCCUUGUCGCUUCCUCGGCCUUCCUCGCUGGUUACGCCUGGGCCAAGCUCACCGGUCUCCGAUGUGCCCUCACCGGCGCUCUCCGAGGUCUCUCCGUCGUCAGCCGAGCUGUCCUCGCCAUCGUCGCCAUCAUCACCAGAGUCCUCUCCGGCUCCUGUACCUACUGUGCUCCCUCAGCGACCACAUACACGGAGUCGCAGUGGCAUCGUUCAGCCUAAACAGCGACAUGAUGGGACUGUUGCUUGGUUGGCUGCCUGUAUGGCUGCUACUCGUGCGGAUCCUUCCUCUGAACCGCGCACGUAUCAGGCUGCUUUGAGUCUACCUCAUUGGCGAGAGGCUAUGGAGCAGGAGUAUCAUGCUCUCCUUCGUAACAAGACAUGGACUCUUGUUCCGCCACCACCCCGUGUUAAUGUCAUUGACUCCAAAUGGGUUUUCAAAGUGAAGAAGCAUUCAGAUGGUUCUAUUGAGCGCUACAAGGCGCGGCUGGUUGCUCGAGGUUUUCGGCAGCAUUAUGGUCUUGAUUAUGAAGACACCUUCAGCCAGUGGUUAAACCUACUACUAUCAGGCUUCUUCUCUCUCUUGCAGUUACUCGGGGUUGGUCUCUUCAUCAGCUGGAUGUGCAGAAUGCUUUUCUCCAUGGUGUUCUUGAAGAGGAGGUAUAUAUGCGGCAGCCUCCAGGGUUCUCUGAUCCCGAUCGUCCUGAUUAUCUAUGUCGGCUUACUAAAGCACUCUAUGGUCUGAAGCAAGCUCCUCGUGCUUGGCAUGCUCGUCUUGCGACGGCCCUUCGUGCUCAUGGUUUUGCAUCCUCAGCUGCUGACUCCUCGUUGUUUCUUCUUCAGAGGCCUGCAGUUACCAUGUAUCUGCUUGUUUAUGUGGAUGAUAUUAUCCUUGUCAGUUCCUCUCAGUCGGCUGCUGAUGCUCUUGUUUGGUCUCUUGGUGCUGAUUUUGCGGUCAAAGAUCUUGGGCGGCUUCACUACUUUCUUGGAGUUGAGGUUGCUUCUGUGUCCAGUGGUCUGAUUAUGACGCAAAAGAAGUACUCCUUGGAUUUGUUACAGCGAGCUGCGAUGCUUAAGUGCAAACCGACUACUACACCUAUGUCUGCUACUGACAGGAUUACUGCUGUUGCUGGUGAUCUCCUGUCUUCUGCUGAUGCGACAUAGUACAGGAGUAUUGUUGGUGGUUUGCAGUACCUGACUAUCACACGUCUUGACAUCUCUUUUGCAGUUAACAGAGUAUGUCAGUAUCUUCAGGCACCUCGUGAUACUCAUUGGUCUGCAGUGAAGCGCAUCUUGCGCUACAUUCGUUUCACGUUGUCCUAUGGUUUGCACAUUCGACCGAAUCCCUCUGGGGUCAUCUCGGCGUAUUCUGAUGCGGAUUGGGCUGGCAGUCCAGAUGACAGGCGAUCCACGGGGGGCUAUGCUGUGUUCUUUGGUUCUACCUUGAUCGCCUGGAGUGCUCGGAAACAGGCUACUGUUUCACGUAGCAGUACUGAAGCUGAGUAUAAGGCUGUGGCUAAUGCAACUGCAGAAAUUAUCUGGAUACAGUCUUUGCUUCAGGAGUUGGGAAUAUCUCAGUCACAGUCUCCUAUUCUUUGGUGUGAUAACAUCGGUGCUACAUACCUAUCUGCUAAUCCGGUAUUCCAUGCCCGAACGAAACACAUUGAAGUGGACUAUCAUUUUGUACGGGAACGGGUAUCUCAGAAGCAACUACAGAUCAAGUUUAUCUCUUCCAAGGAUCAACUUGCGGACAUCUUCACCAAGCCAUUACCUCUUCCACAGUUUGAGACUUGUAGGCGCAAUCUUACCCUUCUAGAUUCUUUAGGAAGUGGCUAAGAUUGAGGGAGGGUGUUAGACUGUAUAGUCUCUGUAGUUGUAUACGUACAUAUACGUAUGAUGUAACUUGUACCCGUUUGUUAUAUAUAUGUGAGAUAGGCCACCCUAGAGGGUUGAGCCGGUUCCCCCAACUCUAUUGUCUUACACAAACCCACCCAAAUUCUAGCCCAUCAUCAAUAUUCAUUUCAAAAGUGUUUAAGAAACGUUUACUAUGCUUAUGACCAGUGAAGUGAACACCCUCUAAAAUGCAGUAGAAACACGGUGAAGCAGUAAACACACGGCGUAAAACGUGUAAACUCGCACUUGUUAACGAAAAUAUACAACAAAGUUCAGAGCCACCAUUCCACCCCAUUUUGAAUGGCCGGAGGCAUUCAGAUCACACCCUAUCUCUCUCCUUUUUUUCAAUAUUUUGAGCAGACAUUUAGACCAUAGUAGCUCUUCCUCUUUUUUACACAUUACAUUACAUGAUUAUACAUACCUAAAAGGAUUACAAUGUAGUGCACCAUUUGGGCCUCUGGGAUAACUCUGUGUAUGUUUUCCAGAGAGUACCGAUGCUCUGAGCAGGCUUCAGUUUCAGGUUGUGCCGAAUUCUGGCUCAUCCCGUUCAUCUAGGAAGAACGACUUGAUGAAACUGUUGACCUUGUCGGCCCCCUCCAACUGCAACGCGUGCCCUGCGUCCUUGAUGAUCUCUAGCCUGGAUUUCUUGCCUAGAUGCCUGCACUCGCCAACAGAAAACACAUACCGAUUCUUAUACAUCUUGUUGAAAUGAAAAGCAAUGUCGUCAGUAUAUAGAAUUCAUGGAACACUGUCCUGUUCUUUUUACCUGUGCAGUUUGUAGCCAAGAUCGACGGGGAACACCUGGUCCUUGUCUCCCCACAGAACCAGCGUUUUCUGCAGAGCACAAAUCGAACCACACAUGUUAUUUCUCAGAAAAAAAACAUCCAAAGGAAAGUGAUGAUGGAUCAAUGUUGCUUGGAAUGUGCGGCUGGCUGACCUGAGUGAGAGCCGGGAGGGGGUCGAUGCCGGCUCCGCUCCUGAGUAGUUCUUGCAGCAGCUCUGUUCUCUCCUUUCUCUGGUCCACGAACAUCAGCUGCAGCAAACACAGGGCAUACACUUCAGAAAUGGUGUAAAGUUCACCAAAUUAAUAUACAUGAUGAUGUGUUCUUUUUUUAUGGCGGGGACAUGAUGCUCUGUUAUUAGUUACCUCUUUCUACAUUUCCAUGCAAAGUUGGAGUCUGUACUGAAAUUUACGAGCAUGCUUUAAGAGAACUGAACUAAGAACAUUUCUGAAGUCUGCUCACCGACUUGUUUACGAGCACGUAUCUUAUGCAUGGGCAACCAAAUAGGCAAAAAAUCUGAUGUCGCAGGGUAAUUAAGAGGAGAGGGAGGAGUUUGAUGACCCUAGAAAGAAACGAUGCUAGGGACAUGUAUCUAGGCAAAAACAAAAUUUACAGUCUACGGCUAGCUAAUUAAAUGAAGGAAGCCCCAUGCAAAAUUAUUGGCAUAUGACUUGAUCGGACAGUGGCCAAUGGAAAAUGAUGCUAGCAUCCCAAGCUAGCGCCAGAAGACUGAAUUUGAGCGCUUGGGCCAGGCAAACAUCCAUGCCUAGUGCUUCAGCCAGGCUAAUGACCAUAAAAUGCUCCACGCCAGGCUUAUUCAGGGCAUCAACCAAACAACCUCCAGGCUAGGGAAGGUCCAGGCCAUACAAAUCUUUGCCAGGCUUCCAACCAAACAAUCCCUCUUAUCUUUGAGGCUUAAUUGGUUAGUUAAAUGUACGACGUCUAUAUCAAAAUCAUGAUUCCUUAAAAAUGUCAAUCAAUUUUUAAAAAUCAUGAUUCAAAAAGAUUAAUUCCCAAAAAUGUCCUUGGCUUUGAAAAAAUGUUCAGGAAUCUUUAAAAAAUCAAGAAAUAAAAAAUAUUCAUGAAGCUCAAAAGGUGUUCGUGGAUUUAAAAUUGUUCAUGAAUUUUUAAAAAUUAAUGAGUAAUAAAAUGUUCAGCAUAUAUUCGAAAAUUGUUCCAUAUGUGUUAAAAAAGUUCAACGUAUAAUUAAAAAAAUUAACGUCCAUUUAAAAAAUCAUGAAUAAACUAUUAUACUUAGAAAAAAUGAUUGUAAAAAGCUAAACAGGCUUCCGAAAACCUCUUUUUUUAGUGGUAAACCUUGUUUAUUAAUCAAGUACAAGGUUUACACACAAUUGGGUCAUGGGGUACUUCACUAACGCCAGUACCAACUUGGCUACUCCCUCCGUCUCGGUUUAUAGGGCGUGCACGUAGUUCUAGGUCAUCCAUUUGACUAACUAAAUAGUAUGAGUUAUAUGUCAAGUAUAAACUUCUUUUUAGCAACGUAGUUCUUGGCAAGUAUAAAAGUUGCUAAAAAGAGCCACACAACGUAGUUCUUGGUCAAGUAUAAACUUAUUAAUCAAGUAUAAACUUCUUUUUAGCAACUUUUGAUAUUGCCAAGUAUUGGCAGUGCCAAAUGUUGGUAUCAAACCAAUUAGCCUCCUAAUCCCCAAGUACAACAGGAUCAAUGUGGCAUUUUCCUUUUUUUUGGGAGAAUCGUAAUCAAGUCGGGGAUACAUUAUUGGCGGCACUGUCAGCCACGCCCGGCGACCGACCCACAUCGUUGGGGCAUUUUCCUAGCGCAGAUUUGAUCUGCGGCGGUGGACGGUAGCGGUGUCCGCUAGCGUUUUGGAUUUGGACGGAUCGAUCAGCCACACAACGGUGCCACUGGCGACGUACGGCACGUGGCCCACGUACGCACGCACGGACCCAGCCGGGUGAGACCCAACAAGGAAACCGACGAGGUCGACACGUCCGUCCAGAUCUACCACUGUAGUAUACUGAGUACUUCCCCUGGCUUCCGGAGUGCUCCCAGCGAACUGAUUGAGUGAUCGACUAGUUACUGUUGUUUACAAUCCGCAGGCUUAACUUGAGCUCCGUCUACGUCUUGGCAGUUGGCACACGUGACCGGCUUAAGUGCAGCAACAGAGGUGGUACCUGCUGCUUGGUCUAGCACUUGCGUGUACGGCUGAAACGUGCACGCGCGCGCUCGCUCCAUACGCUAAUGCAUGCUUGCAAGCUGCAAAUGAUGUUGCCUGCUGCGUGCGCCAUGCAUGGAUCGGCCGGACCCCAAGCGCUGCGCUGGCGUGGCGAUCCUAGCUAGGCAAAACCAAGCGCGCGCGCGACACGCAACCAAACCACGUGAUGACUUAUAAUACUCCAGUUAGCUACUGGCAUCGUCAGAGACAAGUUAACCGUCGUGGUAAGUUUGUGACACGUCUGACGUCGAUCGCCUCUCAAAAGAGAAUAAUGGUUUGUGACACGUCGAGGAAAAGACAAUAUAGACACACCGUAACUUUUAUCAAAGUUACAAAAAAGGUUGGGCAAACACAUACUGUAGUAUGUACUGACCUGGAUGAAAUCGUGGAGCACGAAGUCCGGCAGCCAGGGCGGGGGGCGGUGCAUGGACCGGUGCACGAGCCGGCGCAGCCCGGCCGCGCUGUCCGGCAGCAGCGCGUCCUCCACGGCCAUCUCCUCCCGCGCCGCCAGCUCGCCCAUCUCCUGCACCGUGGCCGCGACGCCGCUGGUCAUGAUGACGACCCUGGCCACGCUGUCCCGGGCCUCCACGGCCGCCAGCCGGUACGCCACGAAGCCCCCGUAGCUGAUCCCGGCCACGUCGUACCGGCCCACGCCGAGGAGCCGCAUGGCGUCCGCGGCGCAGCGGGCCUGGAAGGCCACGGAGCGGAGCGGCGAGGCGGAGCGGGAGUGGGAGCCGAAGAAGACCAGGUCGGGCACGUAGAGGUGGAAGCUGCGGGAGAGCGCGGCGAGGUUGCGCGCCCACGUCCACUUGGCGUCGCCGCCGAAGCCGUGGAGGAGGAGCAGCGGCGGCUUGGCGGACGGCGAGGCGGGGCACCAGACGCGGAGCGUGGUGGCGUGCGGGCCGGGCAGGCGGAGGGUGACCGGGCGGAUGCGGAGGCGCGCGAGGAGGUGGAGCGUGAGCGCGGCGUCGCGGAAGGCGGCGAGGCGGAGGCGGAGGAGCAGCCGGAGGAGGAGCAGCGAGAGGGAGAGGAGCGCGAAGAGGGACGAGGUGGCCGCCGGGUGCUGCUUCGCGGCGGCGAGCGCGGCGGCGCCGGCCGCCGCCGCCGGUCCGGCGCGAGCUUGCAUGACGACGACGCGGGAGCGGGCUGGCUGGGUGGGCAGGCUGUAGCGCACAGCUUCUUUCUCGGCGCGGCCCCGAUGGAUCCGGAGGAGUCGCGACGUGUCUCGCGUGAAGUUCUGCGUACUGUUUUUAUAUAUGCGGCUCUUGCUCUUUCUGGUUGUAUACUAGUGCUACUGCUCGUGCUGAGCUCGAGUCGGAUACGGGUUCAAAAUCAAGCAGUGCGGCGUGACCCGUGGUAUAGCAAGAAACUCAAAGCUGCCUAGAGCUUAGCUCUAAGGGCGUGUUUGCUUACAUUGCAAAUCCAGUCUUGGCCCGGCGAGGCUGGCUCUAUCAAGCCGGUUUGAGGAGAUGCAGGCCAAAAAAUUCCAGAUGCACAUAGUUUGGUUGCCUGCAUGUCCCUAGUUGCAUGAGACAACCGUUUUCAAUCCGGCGUUUGGUUGCCCGCAUUGCAUUAGGCACACAUAUGACAUGGCAUUUGGUUGCAACCUGCAUAAGGUGUUGUCACCACUUUUUAACUAGUGGUGAGUUUAUCGCACAAAAUCUGAACAUGUAGGGCCAGAUACUUAAACAAAUGACAGUUCAUCCUAACUACUAUCAAAUGACAGUUCAAAUUAUUACGAGCCAUUGGCUAAAUAGGGGAUAGUUCAUCGGUGUUGCUGCUACCAGUUCUUCCUCUUCCUCUUCUUCUGCUUUUGCUUCUGCUGGUGCUUCUGCUAUUGUUGCUUCUUCUUCUUCUUCUUCUUCUUCUUCUUCUUCUUCUUCUUCUUCUUCUUCUUCUUCUUCUUCUUCUUCUAUCUUCUUCAAAUCCUGCACUGACCUCUGUUAAGCCACAUCGCCUCUGCCCACUUCAACCUUUUGUUCUUCCAAGCGUCAUUGUCAAAUGCCUUCAGACCAUGGUCGGAGCUAACAACGCAGUCAGGCUUGACCUCUUUCUCCUCAGGCACGUGUUCACCAAAGCCCCACUAGAGGAUCCAGUUAUGCAGAAUGCAACAAGCAAGAACUAGCUUAACCUGAGUGGAGUAUGGGUGGAAUGACUUCUGAUCCAGGAUCUUAAACCCAUUCUUCAGAGCUCCAAAUGCCCUCUCAACAGUUACUUUAAGGCUGGAGUGUCUGAGAUUAAACAGCUCAUGUGCAGUCCUAGGAUAGUUCCUACUAGAGAACUCGUUGAGAUGCUACCUGGUUUUCCUGAAGGGUGGAAGAAUACCCGGUCGACAUGCAUAGCCAGCAUCUCCAAGGUAGAACUUGUCGUCGGGGAUGUUGAUCCCAUCAGGCCGAUUCAUGCUAUCAGUGAGAAUGUUAGCAUCAUGCGCUGACCCCUCCCAGCCAGCCAGCACAUAUGUGAACUUCAGAUCAAAGUCAACAUCAACAAGCAUAUUCUGGCUUGUGUAAUGCUUCCUCCCCCUGUAUGCUGCAGACUGUGACCUAGGAACUCUGGCAGUGACAUGAGUAUCAUCUAUUGCCCCAAUGCAAUCCUGAAAAUGGCAUCACAAGCCUGUGUUAGUGCUCAACUUGAACAAUACAAUCAUAUCAAGCCAUGAAUAGUGUAUAUUGUCAAUGUUCACCUUGAAGUAUGGAUACCAUCUUGGGCUUCCGCGAAUCUUGGGUGGAGUCUGACCAGAUGGUCUCCUGAUCCUCUAAGCUACCCAAUAGCAAAAAACACUUACUUGAAGUACCUAGAGAUGGUCUCCAUUGAUCUCCUGAACGUGUUGUGAAUGACCCUGAACCUCUGGUUAUGACCAACAUCACGGAGGAACAUGGCCACUUGCUCUUCGACACUGGUGUUGAUGCUACCUUGUAGCAGCCCCCUACUCCUGAAGGUCUCGACAAGCCUGGCAAAUGGUGCUCUUUUCAUUUGAAGCAUCCACAGAGCCUCAACGUCAUUGCAGUUGUAGAUGUAGUUUAGAUUUUGGAUCCUCUCAUGUUCCCGGUGAAACAAUGGACCAUAGCGGAUCAAAGGUCUCCCAGCACAACGAACAACUCUCUAGUGCAUGAACAUGACCCAUGCCUGAAUCACACUAAUCAGUGCUGCUGCCUGGAUUAUCAGCCUCAUUCAUGCUUCCAUAACCUAGUCGACAUUGACGGUUUGUUCAGUGGGAAAUCGAUCCUACACCUAGCCUAAUGUCCUAACCGCUGAGCUAACAAAGGGGGAGGGGUGCUUCUUACCAGCAUCAGAGAUGAGGACGGCGUAGGGGGAGCCAUGGCACAGACUAGGUCGACCAGACGAUGGCCAACAACAAGGGGAGCACCAGAUCCACCACAAACGCAGCCGCCUCUUCCGCCGCCGCCUCUAGCGCGGAUCUGAAAUCGCAGCCGCCGUGGUGAGGCAGUAGGAAAGAAAGGGGGGCAGUGGCUAUGGGUGAGCGAGUGAAAGGGGUGAGGCUAGAUUUGGCGCCGGGACGGCGCGCCAGAUUUCCAUCUCCCACCAUCCCCCCUCGCCCUCGCCUCGCACCCGCCCCGUGCGACCUCGCACCGCACUCAGCCUGGCCCACGAGAAACUGCCGAUCCGAGCGUUUUCAGCGAGCCAGGCUCUGGGCUGCUUUAAGAAGCGUGCGAUGCAGGCCCAACAGUGAAACCAGGCAACCAAACAUGCCUCUCCCUUCCCGUGUGGGCCUGGUUGGGCUCGAUGCGGGCAACCAAACACGCCCUAAAGGAACGGUUGAAUUGACCCUUUUCAGCGAGGCAGGCCUGAGCGAGCGCAAGGAUGACACACGGAUGCAAGCGUAUGUACGCGCAGGGAUGAGCGGGAGACGUCGCGUUGCACCUUGAAGUNNNNNNNNNNNNNNNNNNNNNNNNNNNNNNNNNNNNNNNNNNNNNNNNNNNNNNNNNNNNNNNNNNNNNNNNNNNNNNNNNNNNNNNNNNNNNNNNNNNNNNNNNNNNNNNNNNNNNNNNNNNNNNNNNNNNNNNNNNNNNNNNNNNNNNNNNNNNNNNNNNNNNNNNNNNNNNNNNNNNNNNNNNNNNNNNNNNNNNNNNNNNNNNNNNNNNNNNNNNNNNNNNNNNNNNNNNNNNNNNNNNNNNNNNNNNNNNNNNNNNNNNNNNNNNNNNNNNNNNUCCCUUUUGGCGGUGAGCAUCGAUGGCAGCAAGAUCUGGACGAGGAGCACCGACGGCGACCACGAACUUGAUCACCGCUUCAUCACCCCUUCGCCACCUCUUCUUCAAUGAUGGUAAUUCCUUGUCUUCCUGAUUUAGGAAACGAUGUAGCCAUCGAUUUAGGCAUGGAUUUAUACUUCGACAAUUCAAUCUAGGGACAGACUAAGGGGUUAAUACAGCUAGAUUUAGGGUUCAAGUUGGGUUCUGGCUUAAGCUUGGUUUUAGGGUUUGAUUUAGGCUUCGAUUUAGGGUGCCGGUUAAGAGUUUGAUUUGACCGUCCAUAUGUAGUCAAUAUAGGGGUCUGAUUUUGGUUAGUUGCCAUGUCGAUAUAGAGUCAGAUUUUGGUCAGUUGUCAUGUCAAUAUAGGGCUAGAUUUUGGUCAGUUUCCAUGUCGAUAUAUGGUCGAUACUGGUCCAUGCUACAUGAACAUCCAAUUGAUCAUGCUUAGUUCUUCAUUGCAGUCUUUCUAUUCGGAAGCCGGUCAUCGAUAAUGUUGGUGAUGGCAAAUGCUGAAGGGCGACCGCCUCAAGCCUCCGAGGACAAGUAGGUCGCAAAGGGCGAGGAAGUGGCAGACGUCAGCGCCGGAAAGAGGCCUCAGUGAGGAAGAAGAAUUCCAACCAUUUUUAUGAGGACGCGGGCCCAUCACAUUUCUGCAAAGUCAUUCUAACACCUAAAUUGGAGUGACUGUCCAUCCCUGACUGCUUCCUUGAGAAAAUGGUGCCAUCCCUAUUUUUGAAGCUCUCUCAUUUGACCGAGGUGUUCAAUUUUGUAUUUGGUUCAUGUUUUGACAGGUACAAUGAUCGUCAACAUGCGCCACUGUAACAUCAAUAUAGUAUGUGUGACCAACAACACAAGAAAUAUUUUCGCAUACGCGUGUGGGUUGAUUAGCAGAUAACACGGAAUCACUCUGCCAAAAAGAGGCUACCCAAACACCGCAUUUUGUAAAAAGGAAAACACACUCCAUCAUCUCCCCAUGCGCCAAACCAGAUAACAUUUUAAUGAAAUCUCCAUGAUACCAACAACACUGUGAAGCGCGCCCACCCUUCUAGUGAUGUGUCAAGGCUAAGCGAUAAUGACAUCGCUCGAAAUGGCAGCAAGCAGGUAUUGAUCUAGAACCUUUAAUUCGCCUCGACUUCUAUCUCCAAUGGCAUGUGCAUGUGGGUCCCGAUUUUCAUAUCUCAUUCUCAGAAUGCGAUGUCUACUCUUUUAUAUCUAAUAGCUAGCCCCUACUAACAAAUUUUUCAAUAUGCAAGCAUGAUAUCUUAGCAUGCCAACAUGAGAAAAGAUUCACCUCGAUAUGCAAACGAUGCAUAGGAAAACCCAAACUCAACAUGCAGAAAUGCAUAUUAGUUUCCACUCUAUUAUGCUAUUUAUAACUGAUCUUUUUUGCAACUAUACAAUAUUAAAACAAUAAAUCAUAUAUAUUUGAGUUUAGUUCUCAUAUUAAUACUCUAACAUUCAUGUUUCAAACAACCGAAUCUUAUUAAAAUAUGUUGCGAUACAUUCUCCCAAAAAUGUGUGGGGUAUCAUCUACUUCCUUCAUCCAAAAUUAAUUGACACUCACUACGAGCGCCAACUAAUUCCGGACAGAGAUAGUAGUUUCCUAUAGUGCUUAUGGAAUUUGAUGUAUGUGUAAGCUCUAUACCUUUAUUUUGUUGAGGAAUGCACUUUGAGGGCUCAUUUGGUUUCCUGGGAUCCCCGCCCUUUCCCUGGGCAGCUCCCACCCGUGGAAACCCAAUCCGGGGCUACUUGUCUAUGCAUUUGGUUGUUGCGGAGGAGAGGGAUAUCCUGCCCCAUCCCCGUUCAAUCCCUGGGCUCAAAAUAAUCUACCCCGACUCGCGGAACAAUCCCCCCCUCUCUCUCUCUCUCGCAAGAUCUAGAUGGUGUCCACUGCCCACCCGCUUCCUUCUCCCCUCUCCCCUCCGGCCAGUCUGCCCUCUGCCCCCACCUCAAGCCCUCUCUAUAAACGAGCUUGAGCGCUCAGCCAUUGCUAGCUCGGCUGGAGCUGCAAUUUGUGAUUAGCAUGUGUGAGUUCCCCAUCUACUUGUUGGUAAAAUUGAAUAAAAAAAUUCAUCCCUUCCUUGGAGCAGGCGGCUGGCGGUGCUGAUUUGCUUCGUUAAGCUGAGCUUGAAGAAGAGUGUCGCUAGAUCGGUCAUGCGACACUGAGGUUGAAGACGAGAGUUUUGUUCUUCUGGUCUUCUUUCUUUUCUUCAUGGAAGCCAGGGAACCUCGGCCCCUGAAGUGCCAAAUGGUGGUGAGAUAAUGCCUCGUGGAUUUCAAUGUGUCGAGAAUAUUUCACCCGUGCUUAUUCAACCCUGGAAUUUCUCUCCCCAGCAACCAAACAUAGCCUGAGAGUUAAAUUGUGGGACUAGCUUAGUGUGUUGGCCCAUAAAUUGCUUGAACUAGAUGAUACCUUGCACGUUGUUGCAAAUUUUUUUCUAAUAUAUUUCAACGAGAUUUGGUUGUAUAAAAGACGAAUAAAAGUAUAUUAUGAUACCUAGAAGUAAAAAUACAUAUGAUAUAUCGUGUUUGAUAAUUGUAUAGUUUUAAAAUAUUUAUUAAAUAUAAAUAGCAUAAUAUAGUAGAAAUUGUCAUGCAUGUUUGCAUGUAGAGGUGUAUUUUUAUCUGUGCAUGGUUGAAUGUUGAGGCAGGCUUUUCCUAUGCAUGUUGCAUAAUCCCGAUAUCCUCCUUAAGCAGAAUUUUUGAUGUAAUAACCUUAGACCUUGUUUAAAUUACUGAACUUACACACAGAUAUAGAGGUAAGGUCACAUGUGUGCGUUCGGGGGUGAAUGUGUGCGUGUGUGUUGUGAGCGUUUGCGUUUGCACUAUGUUUCUAAAAGAGUUAAACCAGGCUUGUUUUUCUUUUGAAAAAAGAAGGAUUACCUUGGCCUCAACAGCAUUACGGUGCACACAUCCAUUUCUUGAAAAAACUCAAACAUCACAAUCUAGUACUAGAGUACAAACCGAAAAUAAAAAAACAACUACAAUCUAUCACAUAGCAUCUACUAUUGGACUGCCAUUAAAACCGGUUGUAUGUAUCCCGUGUUACCAUCUUUUAUUAGUUGCACUCAUAGAUCAUAAGCUCCCGUACUUUUGCAUGGUGAAUUAAGGACCAUGUAUGGAUCCAUAAUGUAGCUCGGUAUAUAGGUUGCAAUAAAAUUACGAACCUUUGUUCAGUUAAAACCACAAUCAUUCCUAUAAUUUCAUAUAGCCUAAAGCAAGACACCCACACCCACAUAGAUUCAUGCCUUCAUUUUAGACUCAACCCCACCCAACCGGUUACUAAGCAUAUUUGACAUACUCAUAGAUGGAGGCCAAUUAAAAGCCACAUUAAUUCCAAGCCAUAAUAACUUGGCGAGAGGGCAAGCAAGAAACAAAGGAUGAAAUGUUUCCUUUUGAUCACAGAACAACAUUGUUUGCUACAUUGCCAACUACGUUUUUGCUAUAUCCUUAGUAAGAAUGACACCUUUGUGCACAAGCAGAUGCAAUUUUUAAUAUUUAAUGUCACUUUGGUCUUCCAAGUAUGAUAUGAAUGAAAAAAAUCCUAAUAUUAAUCAUGUCCAUGUACAUCAUACACGCCCAAUAUUAAUCAAACUUGGGACAAUUAAUGGAUUUGUCUAUUUCUAUGUUGAACAAAACUGUCAUGGAUAUCAGAAUGAUGAAAAGAUAAAAUCACAUAGAUCAUGACGUAUGUUAUUCGCCAAAAAUAGCCAUGUAAAAAAUUACAAGUGCCAAAACCCGAAUCAGAACGCCCAAGUAUGGCCUUAUCAGUAAGUUGUCAUUGUACUCCUUCCGUCAGGAUUUAUUAGGCACCUUUGUAUUUUGAAUCAACUUUGCUAUAAACUUGAUGUGCAAAAUAUAAGCGACAUGUGACAUAUGUCAUAAAAAUUAUAUUGUUAAAUUAAUUUCCGAACGAAGUUUCUAAUGGCACCCACUAGUUAUGUUACAUAUAACUCAUUUUUUGUUAUACAAAUGUAUGGUUAAACUUCAAAAUAUUAGAGGGCCUAAUAAACCCGUACAUAGGGAGCAAAGCUUGAAACCUUGAGGGUACCCUUUGACCCUUUUUAGUUCAAAUAAAUGAACUGAAUUAUCAGAAUCGUGUCAUUUGAUUGAACUAAGUAGUGUCCGAGGGUAUCCUAUAAAUAUUUCAAAUUUGCAUAACUAGUAUAGAUCGAAUUCAGCAUAAAUUAAUCAUACCAUCACGAGAACCAUAAUAUAUACCUAUUCAAGAAAAAAACAUAAAUAUAUACUUUUUUAACCUCACAUAAAUAUAUACUACUCCCUCCGUUCCUAAAUGUUUGUCUUUCUAGAUGUUUCAACAAAUGACUACAUACAGAACAAAAUGAGUGAAUCUACACUUUAAAAUAUGUUUACAUACAUUCGUAUGUGAUAGUUCAUUUGAAAUGUCAAAAAAACAAAUAUUUAGGAACGGAGGCAGUUCUUGCAAACACUUGUAGAAGAACGAAACGAGGAACAUAUACUGUCCAGUGUCCACCCAUUCACUCAGGAAACAGGAGUCAGCACGAAUCGUAAAGCUACGGCAUCUCCACGGUCCAGCCUCCAGGCGGAGCACACGUAGCCCGCUCCUCCAUUUGGGGGUGAAGAAACANNNNNNNNNNNNNNNNNNNNNNNNNNNNNNNNNNNNNNNNNNNNNNNNNNNNNNNNNNNNNNNNNNNNNNNNNNNNNNNNNNNNNNNNNNNNNNNNNNNNNNNNNNNNNNNNNNNNNNNNNNNNNNNNNNNNNNNNNNNNNNNNNNNNNNNNNNNNNNNNNNNNNNNNNNNNNNNNNNNNNNNNNNNNNNNNNNNNNNNNNNNNNNNNNNNNNNNNNNNNNNNNNNNNNNNNNNNNNNNNNNNNNNNNNNNNNNNNNNNNNNNNNNNNNNNNNNNNNNNNNNNNNNNNNNNNNNNNNNNNNNNNNNNNNNNNNNNNNNNNNNNNNNNNNNNNNNNNNNNNNNNNNNNNNNNNNNNNNNNNNNNNNNNNNNNNNNNNNNNNNNNNNNNNNNNNNNNNNNNNNNNNNNNNNNNGAUGAUCGCAUCCGCACCUUCGAGGACUUCGCGCGGGUGCACCAGUUCCUGCUGAUUGCGGCCGGCGUGCCGCCGUCGCUGCAUCGGCGGCUGUACCACAAGCUCGCCGCCGAGGUGUUCGACGGCGGGGAGAGAUUCUACGUAGAGCCCUGCGAGGAAGGGAGGCAGCGCCGCCUCGUGCUCGCCUCGGACACGGCUCUAAGGGGGGAGUCGGACGUCUUCCUCGUCGACCAUGCGUGGUCCUUCCGCCUCUCCGAUGCGCUCAAGCAGGUUCGCCUUGUCUGAUGCCUGCUAGUAUGACUUGCUCGUGUUAGUUUAUUUCGAAGCAACUAGAUUGGGAGCUGUGUAACUGGUGAUGCUAUUCAGUAGUAGUAUAACCAUUUGCUUGGUUUGAACUUUCUGGUUUAAUCUAUAUGUGCUCUUGAUAACAAGGGGUUUCAGGUCCUGCUAUUAUCCAGUUUUUCUACAUUGUCUAGGGAGUGACCUUUGCUGAUUUUGUUGAUCGUUGACGCUGUUAUACUGUAAAUUAGUGAUUCAAGUUAGCGAAGUGAGUGGUGGUUAGAAUUCCAUCCAGAUUAAAAUGCUCUAAUUUUUGGCUGUUGAUCUCCUCUUCUCACGAGCAUCUUUUGUCAUUUUAGGGUUGUUAAUGACUUAAGAAGUAUGUACUGUUUUCUUCCACAUCAAUUACUAGCAAUACGUGCUGACCUGACAAACAGCGGGGUGGAGCACCAGCACCUUAAGCUGCACCAGCAUCUUAGUAAGAUAGACACCGAUUAAGAAACCGAGAAGUCUAGAUUAUGGAGACUCUCUAAGUUUUUCUCUGAUUUCCUGUGUCUGUACUACUUCACUUUAGACCCGGCAUAGGAAUAAGUGUAUCCAUGAGUGAUCUCAUUUUUGUGUGUUGGUGAUUUUGUAGCUACGUGAAGUACCAGGAUUGGCCGAGAGAAUGGCAGCUCUAAUGUGCGUGGAUCUGGAUAGGAAAACUGAGGUCGAAGAGUCAGAUGAGCAAGGCAGUGAAAAUGGUGGGGGUUUGGAGCAUGUCUUGCAGGUGCUGGAGAACGAAAAAGCUAGAAUCCAGGAGAGGGGAAGUUAUUUUGCAGCAUGGCUGGAGCUUGAGGAGCUUGGAAUUGAUGAUGAUAUGUUAGUGGCACUGGAUUUAUCUGCAAAUUUUCCGGUCUGACUCUUCUCCAUAUAUGUUUUUAGUUGCUAUUGCCUGUAAGGUACAGUAUAGUAUAUAUGGUCGAUCUCAUAUAAGUAUAAUAGUAGUAAUAUAUUGCAGUGUGUAUGUUUAUAUUUGACGAUUCCCUGGUUUAAUUUGUGAUGAAAAGAAUAUCAAAUUUUCUCUUCUAAAUGCCAAAGCUCAUUUCAGAAGAGCUUUUCUCUGUUCUUCUAUGUUAUUUGUCGGGAGAACUGUUUCUGAAUGAUCUAUGGUUUGUAUUUGAUGUUUUCCUGAAACUGAUCUUUCCUUUCUUUCUCACUAGAAUCUGGUAGCCCUCAAUCUAUGGGGAAACAAGCUGCAGGAUCCAGAAAAAGUAAUGCGAGAAAUCGGGAAGUGUGGAAGGUUAAAGGCACUUUGGCUGAAUGAGAACCCUAUCCUUAACCAAUGGUCAGAAUUGUGCUUUACAUAUUUUCUUAUCUUAUCUAUUUUGUAAACUAUCUUAUGCAUAUUUUCCAUGUUCUUAAUUGGUUAUAGGUCUAACCAUGAAAAAAAAUAGUGAUCCUGAUGUAUGGAGUUAAGAAAGUAACUACAUAUUUGCCUUCAAACGGUAUAAUGCUUGCCACUGAGUGUCGGACUGUAGAGCUACUGCAAAUGAUAACCUACAAAUUUUACUUUCGUAGUUCAUCAAAUGAUCGGUCUGGCACGAUGAACUUAAAUACGGAUGGAACAUACUAAAAAAGUGGCUUCUCGAAAGGAAGAAGUAAACCUGCCCGGCGCCGGCCAGUUUCUGACUCAUUCAUUGUGUUCUUACAGCCAAACCCUGUGUUUGGAAUGUAUGCAUGGAUGGGUUAGUAAAAGUUGGCUUAUGAUAAUUUGGGGUGCAGAAUUAUGUUUAUCUGAAAAACGUAGAGCAUUGUUCAUAGUAUUGGUCAUGCUGCAUGUAUGUGGUAAAAACAACACGAUACAGAUGUGCAAUUUCUGGGCGUUAACAAAUAGAAAGUGAGCAACACUCAGCUUUAACAAAUAGCAAGUGAACAACACUCUGACUAGUUGAAAUAUUUCAGAACUUAUAUUUGAUGUCUAUUUCAGGUAAUAUUGUUGUAAAGUCCUGUUAUGUCAUUGUAGUAUCUUUUUGAUGUUGACAGCACUGAGAAAGAUGUUCUUGAUGGUCUUCCUGAAUUGGAAAUCUACAAUUCACAUUUUACAAGGAAAGCUAGAGAGUGGGCUUUAGGUUUCUGCGGAGAUAUGGUUGGAGCAGAAAAUCCCUGUUUGUCUGUGGGAAACAUAUCAUUGGAUAAUAUUGUGACCCUUGACCUUUCUGAUAGGUCCAUCCACAAACUACCUGAGGUAAGAUACCUAAUGCCUACAAUUGGUUAUCUAUAAUUUUAAAACACGACGUCACAAAAAGGCUACCUGUAUCAUUUUGCCCAAGUUUAAGCUAUCGUUUUGUCAGAACUGUACACUCAGAAAAGGUACUGACAAUUUUCCUCACUACAUUUUUAAUUUUGAAGGUGUUCUCUAGUAAACUGUCAUCUCUUUCAAAGUUGAACAUCCGUGGCAAUCCUUUGGACCAAAUGUCUGGUGAUGAUCUCUUGAAGUUAUUUAGUGGGUUUACACAGUUACAGGAGCUGGAGGUAUCAUUGUCGAAACUUCAUAAUUCUCAGAAAUUUGUUCUUAUCUUUAGUUCCCGUCUUCUUUCUAGACUAGGAUGAGUGUUAUCAACUUUUAAAUGGAAAGUGAUUAUCUUUUGACAGGUAGACAUUCCUGGCCCUCUUGGAGACAGUGCGAUUUCCAUUCUUGAGUCUCUUCCCAAUAUAAAUUUGCUGAAUGGUGUCAAUGCGUCAACUAUAGUCGAGAACGCUAAGCAUGUAGUGGACUCUGCACUUAGACCACGUGUUCCAGAAUGGUCACCUGAAGAAUCCCUGGCUGAAAGAGUUAUUGGUGCAAUGUGGCUGUAUCUUAUGACAUACCGGCUUGCCGAUGAAGAAAAGUUUGAUGAAACACCCAUUUGGUAUGCCAUUGCUGCAAUCUUUUUUCAUCCCUUUCUGGACGAGUGGUUGGUGUAAAUUUAGUUACUGUGUAGUUAAAUCCUGCAAGCAUUCGCUCAGAAAGAAUCAUGUUAACAUUAUGACCUUGUCUAACACCUACUGCUGGAGUAGGGUUUUAUGUAAUACUAAAUCCAUCCAGUUAGAUCAUCCAGGAAAUAUGUUUGCUUUCACUUUUGGACAAUGAGAAACAUUCUGCUAGGACAUGAAACACACUUGCUUGUUUUACUGUGUUAUAUGUUUCGUGAUUGGUUAUUUGUGCAGGUAUGUCAUGGAUGAGUUGGGCUCAGCGAUGCGCCAUAGUGAUGAUGCAAACUUUAGGAUAUCUCCUUUUUUGUUCAUGCCAGAAGGAAAAUUAGCUUCUGCUAUAAGGUAUUGACAUUUGAAUUGUAGGAACAUUCUAUCAUUAUUUAGUUUGUUAAUAUCCAAUAUUUUCAGUUACACAAUUCUGUGGCCUAUUUGUGAUGUUCAUACUGGAGAAGAAUGUACCCGAGAUUUCUUGUUUGGUAUUGGCGAAGACAAACAACGCUCAGCUAGGCUUACAGCUUGGUUCCACACACCAGAGAAGUAUUUUAUUCAGGUGCUUUUUUCCAUGCCAAUACCGACUGGUUUGAGCUGUACACAGACCCCAAUGAAUUAGUCUUAUGUUCCCUCUUGCUUUCUGGCUACUUCAUAGGAAUUCAGGAAGUACCAGGAGCAGCUUCAGUCAACUACUAUUUGUCCUACAAAAGAGGCGCCCUCAACCAAAAGUGCACUUCCAAGUGAUGGCCGUCCACUUCGAGUAUUCACUGAUAUACCCCAAGUAGAGGAGUUCUUAACACGUCCAGAGUUUGUUCUCAGUAAGCAAAGCUAUGUCCUGCUUUAUUAUUUGUCUGUAACUGUUUUUUCAGGAUCGACUGAUUUUUAGAUGGGGAUGCACCCUGGCUAUUGUUCCUGCAAAGUUUUGCCCUGUGGUUCCCGCAGUCCAUUUCCUUUCCUUCCUUUCAUCACUUGUCCUCCUUUUGUUGGGAUAUUGUUCAUGUGGAAAGCAAAGACAGAACAUGAAAACCUGGUCGUGAUACCUUUUUGUUUUACAGAAGGAUAAAUAAAUAUUAUAUCCUUUUGCUGAUUUAGUGUACACCUCAUGAUAGCACUCUGCUAUCAUAUACUCCCUCCGUUCCUAAAUAUAGGUCUUUAUAGAGAUUCCAAUAUGAACUACAUACGGAUGUAUAUAGACUAUUUUAGAGCGUAGGUUCACUCAUUUUCCUCCGUAUGUAGUUCAUAUUGAAAUCUCUAGAAGGACUUAUAUUUAGGAACAGAGGGAGUAGUUAAUAGUUUACUAUUUAAGUUGUAAAUAAUGGUUAUGGCUUGGUGAAUAAUACUCCCUCCGUUCCGAAUUACUUGUCGCGGGUAUGGAUGUAUCUAGAUGUAUUUUAGUUUUAGAUACAUCCAUUUCUGCGACAAGUAAUUUGGAACGGAGGGAGUAUCUUGUAAUAUUUGUCAGUGAACUGAACAAAACUGAAGUUGUGCUAAUUUUUGGCAUACUCUUCUAAUGAGACAUUAUUUGUAUGCCACCUAGUUUUAUUGGCCCAUUUAAUAUGCUUGUAGAGUCAUGGCGAUUCAUAGUGUAUUCCAUUAUUUCUGCAACAUAUGCUUCAAAGGAAAUUAGCUCCUCGUUCACAUCUAACUUGUUUUCCUGCAGCAACUGAUCCGAAGGAUGCAGACAUCAUCUGGGCAGGCAUGCAAAUUGAUUCUGAAUUAAAGAGUUCACUAGGUCUCACAGACCAACAAUACAUGAAUCAGUUUCCUUUUGAGGCUUGUCUGGUCAUGAAGCACCACCUAGCGGAUACUAUCCACAGGGUGAGCUACUGAGCUGUUUGGUGUAUGCCUUCUUUAAGAAACAUCCGGCAUAGCUUUACUGCUUUGAAUUCAGUACCUUUGAUGUUAGCGGCAUCUGAAAACUAAGAUGAACUCCUACAGGCAUGGGGCUCACCUGAGUGGCUUCAACCUACAUAUAACCUAGAGACCCAUUUGUCUCAACUAAUUGGUGAUUACUCUGUGAGGAAACGGGAUGGUAAGGACAACUUAUGGAUCAUGAAGCCUUGGAAUAUGGCAAGAACAAUUGAUACCACUGUCAGUGGUGAUCUAUCUGCUAUCAUCAGACUUAUGGAGACGGGUCCCAAGAUAUGCCAAAAGUAUAUUGAGUGUCCUGCACUUUUCCAAGGAAGAAAGUUUGAUCUUCGGUACAUUGUUUUAGUCCGCAGUAUAUGCCCUUUGGAUAUACUUCUUUGUGAUGUUUUUUGGGUAUGCCUGAAAGUUUAAUGAUACUUAGUGAAUAUCGGUGCCCAUUACUUGAUGAUUAUAUCCAGUGACUCUUGUGCAUCUAUCUUUUCCUUGUUGUAGGUCAGGUUAGCAAACAAUCAGUACACUUUGGAGAAAACUAGCCUUUUUGAGUACGAGACCCAUUUCACUGUGAUGGUAAGAUCAAAUUUCACCAAUGUUAUACGUGUCACUUUAUAAUAUCACAUCAUGAAUGUCAGCUGUGCAGAAGGUUGUUGAUGUUGUAUUGUAUCUCCUGUUAUAAUAAUACUGAUUAUAUCUUAUAGACCCUAGCUGUAUGCUCAUAUAGUGACCAGCCGUAAACUUUUCUUGGUAAUAAAUUUUUAGGAGUGUAAUCUAGCUCCCUAAUUUCUCUUCCCGUCCAGAACUACAAUGGAAGGAUGAACCAUAUGAAUACUCCAGAGUUCGUCAAGGCGUUUGAGAAGGAGCACCAAGGUUUACAACAGCUUGCAUUCCCCCUCUUUUGUAUAGAGGUGUCUUAGGUUUCUAAUCUAUUGUUAAAAUUUCAGUUAAAUGGCUGGAGAUUCAUGAAAGCAUACGUAUUAUGAUAAGGCGUGUCUUUGAGUCAGCCUCAGCUGUCCAUCCUGAGAUGCAGAACUCAUUCUGCCGGGCCAUCUAUGGUGUUGAUGUUAUGCUUGAUGAUAAAUUCAAGCCAAAGAUUUUGGAGGUAUGCCUCAACUACUUUGUAUAACUGCAGCCCAUGCACAUUGGUAAUAAAACCUGUUUAAGCCUGUGCAUAUCAGUUAGGGUGAUACGGUGCAUGGUUAUAGCUUAGUGCUUGUUCCAUUCAAGCUAGAAAAGCACUUAUAUGCAUAUCACCAUGCCAAUCCAGAUAUUCUUGAUGUAGCAUUUCCUUGGUCCAUUUGGCACGAUAGUAGUAUUAUGGAAACUAAUUAAGUGUACGAGUGAAGUGCUGUCAUCCAUGUACAGGAACUUCCGCACGGCAGUUUCUUGCAGACGGGAUGUCCACCGUCAUGUUAUAAGAAUAUAUUUGAACCAGGUUGCCUAGUACUGUUUUCACAUGUUCCAUCGAAAUAACUACUUCAUGUUAUGAGAACAUUUUGAACCGUGUUGCCUAGUAAUGUUUCCACAUGUUCCAUCGAAAUAACUACAUCAGGUUGUGGGAGUAUAUUUGAACUGGGAUGCCUGGUACUAUUUUCACAUGUUCCAGCGACUCACCACUUCACCAUGAACUGCAGGUGACAUAUUGCCCGGACUGCACGAGGGCGUGCCAAUAUGACACACAAGCUCUCGUUGGAAGCCAAGGCCCCAUCAGAGGCAGUGAUUUUUUCAACACGGUGUUUGGCUGCCUCUUUCUCGAUGAUUUGACGAAUGUGUCACCACUGUAAUCAUCUUGUCAAGAGCCGUUUCUCCCUCGAAUACCAAGAGCUGUUGUAACACCAAUGUCCUUGCAUCAUGAUAUGAUCAAGGGUUCUUGUACGCUUAUGCAUCAACGAACUGCAUUUGUGUCAGGAUAUGAUCAUGUAUUCAUGUGAAUGAAGCUUAAGAUGGAUUUGCUUGUGUUACUUGAUAAAUAUUGCUGCUUCUGAUACUAAUGUUGCAUGCAUAUGAGAUUGAACUAUAUCAAGUAGCAAAUUAUUACAAUGCCAUGCCAUUGCAAGAGUAUUGCAAUAGUUUACCAGAGUAAUAGGAAGUCUCAAGGAUGUGUUAGAAUAUGUUUGUGUUUCGAUGAGUUUUAUGUUCUGUGGGUUUCAAAAAGAUUCCAAGAAGAGAUUGAAUGUUACCAAAGGGUUAACUGGUGACUUGAAAAGAAAACCCUCCAUCAUCAAAAGUGUGCAUGUCUCAUUCUCCAAGGCAAGGCAAGGUAACGUAGCCAAUGCAGCUACUCACCCUCACAGUAACUUUGAAGCAUCUCAUCUGCCAGCUCCACAAAGCCCAAGAAUACAUGCUCGAGUGACACACUGAUUGCACAUUAUAUGUGCACAUGAGCCAUGGCUGCUGAUCACUGAUCCUACGUACUGCAAGACUAGCGAAUUCUAACCAUGAUCACCGCUGGAGCCAUCCUUUCUCUCGUGAUGAUCAUCUUCUUCUCCACCGUCUGCAACUCCGACCCGGACCUCCUCUUCGACUACUGCGUCGCCGACACGACGUCUGCCGCCGCGUCGUUCCACUUCAACGGCCUGCCGUGCAUCGACCCGGCGACGGCGUGCGCCGACCACUUCGCGACCUCGGCGCUCUCCGAGCCCACGGACCCGUCCGCCACGCUCUUCGGCUUCAACGCGACGAUGACCAGCCCGGCCGCGUCCCUCCCGGGCGCGAACGCGCAGGGGCUCGCCAUGGCGCGCGUCGACCUCGCGCCCGGCGGCAUGGCGCCGCUGCACUCCCACCCGCGCGCGUCGGAGGUGGCGCUCGUGAUCUCCGGCGGCGUGCUGGUGGGGUUCGCCGACACGUCGUACCGGCUGUACACGCAGCGGCUGCGCGCCGGCGAGGCCUUCGUGUUCCCGAGGGGCAUGGUGCACUUCAUGCGCAACGAGGACGCCUCGUCCCCCGCCGUCGUGCUGUCCGGGCUCAACAGCCAGAACCCCGGCGCGCAGCUCGUGCCCUUCUCGGCGUUCCUGACGGAGCCGCGGCUGCCCGACGAGGUCGUCAAGAAGACGUUCAGGAUCACCGGGCAGGGCGUGCAGAGGAUCCAAAGGAGCCUCGGUGGGUCGUAGAGGAAAAAAUCGCCUAUGCCUGCAUCUAGUAUACUACUCGGCUACUCCUUACAUAAUUACUCAUGUGCUACGACAGGAGUCCAAAUAUUGUACGCGAUCGUCAUGACUUAUCUGUCAUUUUUUUACUAAUGUGAUUAUUAUACAUACUAUCAAAAGGGAUCGUGCGUUCCAACCGAAGAUUUUUUUUCAUAUUCUCCAAGGUUAUGACCACAUUUUGCUACAUCACCGAGAUACACUAUUACUCAAUUUCGUGAAAUAAACACUUUUUGAAACUCAUGCACAUAUUUGAAAUCGUGAACAUUUUUCAUAUUUUUGAUCACUUUUACAAAUUUUCAAGCAUUUUCUAAAAUCAAGAACAUGUUUUCAAUUCAUGAAAAUUUUAUACUACUCCCUCUGUCCGGAAUUACUUGUCAUCAAAAUGGAUGUAUCUAGAACUAUAAUACAUCUAGAUACAUUCAUUUCAAUGACAAGUAUUUCUGGACGGAGGGAGUAUUAGCAAACAUUUUCUAAACAAUUUUAUUCAAUCGGCGAGUAUUUAUAGAAUUGACGGACUUUUUUGGAAAUUGGCGGGACAAUUUUUUUAAAUUCACAAACAUUUUUUUAAUUUAACAAACAUAUUUUAAUUUAACAAACAUAUUUUAAUUUAACAAACUUUUUUUCAAACGCAUGAUCAUUUUUUGAGUUAACAAACAUUCCAUGAAUGAAUAAACUAUUUAGUAAGUCCCGAUCAGUUUUUGAAUUUUUAGGAUAUUUUUCCACUAACGAACAUUUUUUGAAUUGGCGAAAUUUUGUUUAAUUUCAUUAACAUUAACAUAUUUUAAUACAUGAACUUUAUAAAAAAUCAUGAACAUUUUUUGAUUUCCCGAACAUCUGUCUUAUAAAAUUCAAACUUUUUUUAAUAUAUUCUUUUACAAAAUCACGAACACUUUUAGAAUCCACAAACAUUUUAUGAUUUACUAAAAAAUUUAUUUAAAAUUCAUUUUUCAAUUUUCCGAACAUUUUUGAAGUCGCAAAUUAUUUAAAGUAGAAAAAAUGAAAACAUGAAAGAAAAAUAAAAAAUAAAAAAACAAAUUAAAAAAAUAGGCCGCCUGGACAUGGACCGACGCAAACGGGCGCGCUGCAUCUUCUUCCAGCAUGCAAAGCACAAUAAUAUAGGAGGCCACAAUUGCAUGGGCUGGCCUAGGCGAGGAAUUCCCCCUGUGUGAAACACUUUUUUUUAUUACGAUGGCAUUGAUGGAUAAUAUUUUGUAACUUUGGGGGCGUGACGUAUCGCAAUGACCCCUUUAUUAUUAGGUAGGUAUAGAUAUAGAUUAUAAGUAGGACAGGCUAGCGAUCAAUUGACUAAAAAGAAAUUUAGGGUCAGUCGAUUUGUUCUCAUCCAUCUGAUGCAAAAUUUAUUUAACGGCGAGUUGACCUUCUUCAAUCUCCAACACUCCCGGUUCAAUCUUCUUCCCUGGAACUGCCAGCGGCCACUUGCUGAACCACAUGCCUCCGCCGCUUGCGACCCCGCCCUCCCUUUGACCUCCUCCCACCGCCGUGCUUGCUGCCGCCCUCUCUGACACCCGUCGGCCUCAAGUUCCGCCGCCAACAGCCCCCGCACCCCUAAGAUAGACACCGAGGCGCUGCUUCCCGGCGAACCCGCACCCCUAAGAUAGACACCGGUGCGCUACUUCCUCGGUGAACCUGCACCUCCGUACCCCUAAGAUAGACACCGAGGUGUUGCUUCUUCGGCGAACCAGUGGCCUCAGUGCUCCGCGCGCCUCCUCGGACACUCUUCCUUUCUCUGGAUAUCGACUGACCCAAAAUUGAAAUCCAGAUGACUGACAUCCAACUAAAGUGAUCAAAAAUAGAUGUAUCAUUAAGGUGUGGAACAAUUUAGAAGGAAUACUUGAGAAAAACAUGCGAGUUUUUAGGUUUCCAUAUAUUUAUAUAUUUUCUUCGGUUGGGUUUAUGAGUCGUGCGAGUUUUUAGGUCUUCAAUUUGACUAAUAAAACAUGUACAAUAGGCCACAAAAAUUAUAUAGUUAGAAACUACAUUUGACAAUGUGAAAUAUAAUGCAUGUUUUGUUAACAUUUUUUUGAGGGGUUGUUUUUCUAGUUUUUUUCAUCUGAGAAACAAGGUAUGGGCCCCUGGUUGGGUCGAGCACUUAGCGGCUGCACUCUUUGCCAUGAUAGGGCGGCCCCGGGAGGAGCCAAAAGUAGGACGGAUUGGGCCUAGAGGAGGAACUAACUUACUAGGGCCGACGGCCACCAUAGCGCUGCUACAUGAACCUUCACUGAACCCUUUUUUCUCUUUCCAUCUACCAUUUUUCUUCCGGUUCUCUUUGGUUUUUAUUUUAUUUCUUUUUUCCAUUUUUGAAAUUUGCGAACAUUGUUUUGAGUUCGCAAACAUUUUUUGAAUCCACGAAUAAUUUUUUGAUUUUUCGAACAUUUUUAAAAUUUAUGAUUUUUCUACAAUUCACAAAAAAAUUCGAAUUCAUGAUUUUUUGAGUUUGCAAACAUUUUAAAAAUACAUGAACAUAUUUUGGAUAUACAUUUUUGGUUAGGGACAUUUUUAAAUCAAGCAUUUUUUGAAUUCACAAUCAUUUUAUCAAAUUACUGAAUAUUUUUUUAUUUGUGAUUUUUUAAAAUUUAUGAUUUUUAAUUCACUAUUUUUUAAAUAUAUUUUAAAUCUGUGAACAUUUUUAGUUCCUGGACUAAUUUAAAAUUUUAAAAAGUAGUUUAACAGAAAACUAAAUGAAAAUAAACCAUAUAAAAAAUCAUUUAAAAGAAAUGAACCAGAAAACGGACAAAAAACAUUAGCUAAAGUAUAUAUGGGCGACCCAGAGGGGGCGCUCCGCUAGCUAUGGGGUGCGCAUUUUCGUGUCACUCAACACCCUACGCGCUGUGUAUAGGAGGUCUGAGAGCCGACGUGUCCCUGUAGGUUAGACCACCUAGCAAGGCCAAAAUGGGCCACGACUAUGCAGUCAGAGGAGGAGGCUUGCCUGCUCCCCGCAUAUACUCCCAUCCGUGCUCCCAUUUGGUUCAACAGACGUGAUUGUUUUAUGUGAAGGCCCACGUCUGCACCUUCCCUUUCCUUCCCUUACGUCUCUUUUGUUUCGACAAAAAUAUUAUGACCAAAAUCGAGGAAAUGCCGUGAGUCGCCCAGCAAUGAGAACAGAUGGGAGCACGGAUGGGAGUAUAUGCGGGGAACAGGCAAAGCCUCGUCCAUCUUAGACGCCACUUGUUUUCUGGAGGUGUUGUCGCCUUUUCACCCGAUCUCUCUAUUCCAACAUAAAAACGCUACAAACUCCGAAUAUUUAGCAACAACAAUCCAAAUAAGGUCCAAAAAAUACCCAAAAAACUUGAAAAAUCAGGAAAUAGGGAAGGNNNNNNNNNNNNNNNNNNNNNNNNNNNNNNNNNNNNNNNNNNNNNNNNNNNNNNNNNNNNNNNNNNNNNNNNNNNNNNNNNNNNNNNNNNNNNNNNNNNNNNNNNNNNNNNNNNNNNNNNNNNNNNNNNNNNNNNNNNNNNNNNNNNNNNNNNNNNNNNNNNNNNNNNNNNNNNNNNNNNNNNNNNNNNNNNNNNNNNNNNNNNNNNNNNNNNNNNNNNNNNNNNNNNNNNNNNNNNNNNNNNNNNNNNNNNNNNNNNNNNNNNNNNNNNNNNNNNNNNNNNNNNNNNNNNNNNNNNNNNNNNNNNNNNNNNNNNNNNNNNNNNNNNNNNNNNNNNNNNNNNNNNNNNNNNNNNNNNNNNNNNNNNNNNNNNNNNNNNNNNNNNNNNNNNNNNNNNNNNNAAUAGGGAAGGAGGGGGGUGGGGGGGUGGGGGUGGGGGGGGGGGUAGAAAUACGAAGGAAAAAUGAUGGGAAGUUGAGAAAAGUAGGGGCGCUCUUUUACACCCCACUUCUCCUUCACCAGCAAGUUCCUUUUAGCCCCCUCUCUUUGUAACAUCACCAGCAGUCUGGAUGAAGAUCGGAAAUAUAGGGAAACUCAAUCCAAAAACUAGGCAAGGUAUCUAAGUGCUUCGUGGCUCAUCCCUCUCCAUUUUUGUCUAGGUUUUCCCUGGAUGUUCCACCACCUCAACAAGCAAAAUUUCUCUUAAUCGGUGACACCCUUCGUUAACUUUCUGAGGGGUAGAAUCUCUCCACAGAGGCAAAGAACCCGCAAGACUAGUUAUUUAGAAGACCAAGAAGUUUGAAGUAUGGGCUGGAGAGGUGGUUCGUGAACAUUUGUGUGUUAAAACAUAUUUUUAUAUAUAACUUGGCAUUUUUGAAGCUUUUCUGUUUUUUAACUCGUUCGAAUAUCCUGGUAUUUUUACUUUCUCACAAGGCGGUUUUAUUAUAAGAGGACGGCAUUUCUUAUUAUAAGAGGGAUAUCAUUUUUAUUAGAAGAAUAUGUCAGUUUUUAUUAUAAGAGGAUGCCAUUUUUUUAUUAUAAGAGGAUGGCAUUUUUAUUAUUAGAGGAUGACCGUUUUAUUUUAUAAGAGCAUGUCAUUUUUAUAAUGGAAUGUCAUUUUUUAUUGUUGUGAGGAUGUCAUGUUAUUACUACUUAAGAGGAUGAAAAUUUUAUUAUAAGAGGGUGAUAUUUUUUGUUUAUAAUAUAAGAGGAUGGCAUUUUUUUGUAUACGAGGAUGGUACUUUUAUUGUUAGAGGAUGGCCAUUUUAUUUAUAAGAGCAUGCCAUUUGUUUAUUUUAUAAUAGGAUAAGCAUUUUUAUUACUGCGAGGAAGGCAUUUUUAUUAUUUUAAGGAGGAUGACAUUUUUAAUAUUGAGAGGUGGCAUUUUUUACUAAAACUUUUUUUUGCACACAAGUUUUUUGGGUGUUGAUUAGGAACAUGGUAACUUUUGUGGCAUUUAAAAAAAUCAUUGUCUGGUUUAUUUUUUCAUUUUUACAGCAUGGGAAUUUUGUGUUGGGUCCAUGAAAAAAAAGAACAAAAUGGUUUCCCAUAUUGGCAUGGCAGUUUUACAAGUAGCAUGACAUUUCUCACUUUUCAUACAAUGGCACUCAUAAUUUCAUUUCCCCCUGUUUUUUAAUAAGAAAAUGUGUAUUUUUUUCAUGGCAAUAAAAAAAACCCCAGCAAAACUGGGCCUCUAGCCCAAUGGGCCUCCUCCCGGCGAUCGAUCAAAUGUUCGAUGGGAGCAGCUCCCUAUGGAAGGAUCCCCUGAAAUCACUAAUUGAGGAGUACUCAUUGCAAAGAUCACUCUCACCUUCCCAGGUUGCGAUAAGUGGCGCGCUGCAUGUGCACCACUUGUCGCAACUUGGGAGUUUUUCCCUUUUUAUAGAUCCGUAUAUUCAAAACGUUUUAUCUCUUAAACCGUGCGUCCAAAUCUCAAACCGUUUUCACCGUUGGAUUCCUCGCGUUGAGAUCUUCAGAACUAGAUUCCAUGUCGAUAGGUUUUAACGAACUUUUUUUCAUGAAAAAAUAGGACGAAAAAACCAGAUGAGAAAACCAAACCGGGAGCAUGGGUUUUAAGCACAACCGUGCCUCUCGCGGAAGCAAAACCGUGCCUCUCGCGGAAGGAAAAAAAGAGAAAACAUUUUUUUUCCGUUUUCACGGGAGGCACGGCCAUGCUUCUGGCGAAAGCACAACCAUGCCUCUCGCGGAAGCAAAACCGUGCCUCUCGUGAAAAAAAAGAAAACACAUUUUUUUUCCGUUUCCGAGAGGCACGGCCGUGCCUCUCGCGAAAACACAACCGUGCCUCCGCGGAAGCAAAACCGUGACUCUCGCAAAAAAGAAAAAGAAAAGAAAACACAUUUUUUUCUUCGUCUCUGAGUGAAAGCACAACCGUACCUCUCGCGGAAGCAAAACCGUGCCUCUCACGGAAAUAAAAUAAAAUAGAAAACACGUUUUUCUGUUUCCGAGAGGCACGACUGUGACUCCCAUGAAAGCAAAACCGUGCCUCUCGCGGAAACAAAACCAUGACUCUCGCGAAAGGGAAAAGCACAUUUUCCGUGCAAUUUUUUUAUCCAAAAGCUAAGGAAUACCGGUGGAAAACCGAAACGUCGGAAACCCCUAGAAAAAACCCGUUUAAAAAGCCGAAAACUCGUGCAGAAAAAUAAAAAGAAUUCGGAGGGAGCGCCCAGAGCAUGACACGUGGUGAAUGGCUGAGAGCGCGCCAAGUGGCACUGAUCGUUGUGAGGCACCCGAAGAAGCGCUCGUUAACUAGUUGCUCCCAGGAUCCCCAGUUAUUGGUGUCUUUUUUGUAACACACAUGUUAAGAUUCCCUUUGUGUAUACCCCCUCUGUAAAUAAAUAUAAGAGCGUUUAGAUCACUAUCUAAACCCUCUUGUCUUUCACGGAGGGAGUAGAUGGUAAGAUUUGUUUUAAUAGACGGAAUUUUUUUAACAUGUGUUAAGAUUUCUUAAAAAAAGGAAUGUGUUUUUUUGUGAAUAGUUUUUUUUUGAAAAGGAGGGUCACUUUUGGCCUCUGCAUGAGACUGAUGCAUGCAAUCAUAUUAUUAAACAAAAGUCUCAAAAGGUCUGUGGUUUAGUACAAGCUCUCAUGGAGCUAAAAUGAAAUGAAAUGAAGAUAAAAGUUGCCACAAUCGGCAAAAGUAGGACGAGAUGAGUAAACACCUAGCCCCCAUCUUUGCUUUGCCAACUUAUUCUUAGUCAGAAUCACCCCCUUGUGAACUAACCACAUGAAGAUUUUGAUUUUUAGAGCUACUUUAAUCUUCCAAAUAUGCAAUGACUUCGGUAUUGGAGCAGAAUCAAUUAGGUCUAAAUACAUAGAUUUCACUGAGAAAACCCCAUUUACAGAUAGUUUCCAGUGAAUCGAAUCUGGCUCAUCAGAGAGGUGCAUGUCCAUCAACCUCCGCACGAGAUGUAGCCAUGCUUCCCAUCGGUCUCCUAAUAAGGACCUCCUGAACUGGAUGUUAGUGGGAGAGACCUGAUGCGGAGCAUCAAGACCGUAAUACUGUAACAAUAUAAGCAUCUUUAUGAUGUACAAUAUUAUAAAGAGAUGGAUAUUGUGUGGCUAAAGCCGUCUCCCUAUCCAUGUAUCCUCUAGUGUAAUUACCUUUCCCAAUGAUGAACUUCUUCUUGUGGAAGAAGGCUGCUUUCGUCUUCAUUAGUGCCUUCCAGAAAGGCGAGUCAUUGGGUCUUACAGUAACCUAGGCCAAGGUCUUAGAUUGCAGGUACUUAUUAUGCAAAAUAUGUACCCACGUACCUUCGGUCUCAACCGAAAGUUUGUACAACCAUAUACUCACUAGACAUCUAUUCUUUGCUUUUAAAUUCUUAAUCCCGAGCCCACCCUGGUUCUUUGGUAUACAAAUAAUAUCCCACUUGGCAAGCCUGUAUUUUGUCUUUAUCUAAUCACAUUGCCAUAAAAAUCAUGAUCAAUAGAAGUCUAACAUUUUUCAUCCCCUACGGAUAUUUCAAGGUAAGACAAUAGGAACAUCGGCAUACUGGUGAGCACUGAGUUGAUCAGUACCAAUGGACCGCCAUAAGAACUAAGCUUACCCUUUCAGCAUCUUAGUUUUUUUUCUUCAAAUCGAUCUUCAAUACACUUCCACUCCUUGUUGGAUAGCUUGCGAUGAUGAAUUGGUAUGCCCAAAUAACUAAAUGGUAGGGACCCAGUUCACAUCCGAACAACUAUCUAUAAGCCUCUUAUUCAUCUUUGGCUCUCCCAAAGCAGAACAAUUUACUUUGUUGAAGUUGAUUUUCAACCCGACAAUUGCUCAAACAAGCAUAGCACAAGCUUCAUAUUUCUAGCCUUUGUCAAAUCUUGUUCCAUGAAAAUAAUAGUGUCGUCAGGUAUUGUAGUAUGGACAAGGACAGGGUACGACAUGUGUAAUCAUUCACUUUAAUCCCUACACUGCCUUUUUGCACAAAUGACUCGAACUGUUUCCUCCAGGAAUUGCCGAACCCCUUCAUACGUAAGGCCUGCUGGAGGAAGGGUCAUUUAACCUUAGCAUAUGCCAUCUUGAAGUCUACUUUGAAAACAACCCCAUCCAGUUUUUUUGAGUGGAUUUCAUGUAGGACGACAACACCCUCUAGUAUGUGUCUGCCCGACAUGAAAGCCGUCUGAGUUGGUUGCACAACACCAUGUGGAGUCCGCGUCGGUCGGUUCGUACCAACUUCAGUAAAAGUUUUGAAAAUCACAUUUUGGGAAUAGAUGGUAAGAUUUUUUGUGUAUAGUUUGCCAUUUUUUUUUUGCAACUGUGACCAUCCGAUCUUGUGUACAUAAAGAAAAACCUCAAAAAGAAAAAAAAGGAACGUGUUUAAGAUUUCCUUUGGCUUAAUGCAUCCUUUCACCCUUCAAAAGUAGAAGACUAAAAUGUGUAUAUAUAGAAAAAGUGUGGUAUUUAAUUUGACAGUAGGCAGCUAUAGUACAGUAUGCUCAGUGGAGUCGGAUCUCCGUUUCCUAGCCAAAAUUUCACCUAGAAACUAGCUAGAGAGGGGUAGGGGAAACAUGAAAGAAAGAGAACUACCACUACUCAAAAUCAGAUAAUAACUAUAACAAGCUCAACUAAAAAGCAAACUAGCUAGCUAACUAUAUGUACACAUACUUAGGGACUGCUGGACUGGAUGCAAAGCUUGUAGGGUCACCGGUAGUUAGUUCAACUUUGAGCUAAGUACUGAUAUAUGGUCACCAAAAAAUUCACCCGUUCCGGACGGUGCCUUAGUUGUGCUUUUUCGGGUGAGGCUUGGGUGGUUCUCCACGGCGAGCAAGCACGGCCACCUUAUCAGACUCAACACCAAGGCUCCCCCGGUUGCCAAAGCUUGGUUCAGCAGAUCCCUUUUGUAUCUCCUCCACUCCCACGUUUUUAACUUUCUUGGUCUUCCCUGCAUCGAGCUUCAUGGUACUCCCUUGCUGUAACCCUUUCUUUACAGACGAGGAAUCACCGGUUGGCAUGGACGGGUCCUUCACUGCGUGAAGCAACAUAUGAGCAGCUGGUGAGAUCAACAACACUACUACUUGUGACUGAAUAAAUGUUACUACAAACUUGAGAUGAACAGUGCAAAUAAGAAGCGAAAAAUUAGACUCACCGUGGCGAGCAUGAGCGAGGGGAUGAUGGCCAAGGGCGAGCAGGGAGAUGACCAGGGCAACUGUAAGAAGAACUCGGACAGUAGUCAUGGUGAACUCCAAUUAACUGCCGACGGCCGGUAAAUCUUGGUGGGCUGGUGAAGGGGUGAUGAGGAGAGGAGUGUGAAGAGAGGAGGAAGGCUGAGGCUUGUUGGGUUCUUAUAGAAGAAUGCUUGUUAGUUUAAACACUGGUAGUCAGAUAUAGAUCGAAGACUAGCUGCUAGCUGGGUGGUCAAAGCUCAGAUUUCUUACAGACUGUUAUAUACAAGUACAGAACAUCUGCCGCGGUGUUGUUUAACAAACCCUACGAGUGUAAGCUUUCUCUCUUUUACUACUGCAGCUGCUCAGAGGGCCACGCAGCAUGCACUUGCACUGAUGCGUAAAAACGUGUGGCUUCUGACGGUGGGGGUGUGCCAAGCAGUGGCUCCCUCUUGGGAUCCGAGCUCCCUGUUGGACUCCCGACACAUCGGCGCCACAGGCGAGAAGGUACGACUGUGCGUGCCACGGCGCCAGUUUUCUAAUCCCAGUUUCACAUCGCUUUGAUCCAUCUACUGUCCCGGGCCAGGCAUAAGACCAAGAUCAUAUGUUCCUAGGCAACUCUGCAACCCUCGAGCUCGAGUGAGUUUUAAAAGUUAAGCAUUCAGGAAUCGAACCAACCUUCAAAGAAAGAGAGUUUAAAAAACUGUGCAUUUCAGGAAUCUAACAGAGGCCGGUUCCCAAAUUCCAACGAAGAAAGGAGGAAGGGCAAAUUUGUAGCCACUGCAGCUGCAAAGGUGGUGGUGGGUCAUUUUUAGUAGUAGAGUGAAUUCCAUUUUUUACCCCUAGAGUUCACUUUUGUGAUAGAUAUUACCCCAUUUAGCAAAAAUUUGCAAUUUAUACUUAAUUUACGCAAGUUUGUUGAAGUAUAAAUGCAUAAGCUACAUUUCCUCACUAGUUUGAAAUUUUGGGUGAAUUGGCAGGUUCAAGACCCGGCUGGCGCAAUUUAAAAAUAAAAAAAAUUGCAACCUACUUUCGGUUCACGUUUAGGCCUAAGGAAGCCACAUGUGAGAGUGGGGUUGUUGAAGCAUAAAUGCAUAACCCACCUUUCUCCAUCAGCUUGAGCUUUUGGGUGAACUAGCUGGUGCGUGUAGUUCUACAGUUUGUGACACAUUUUAACCCAUUUCAUUUUUUCCAGCCACCAACUAAAUCCUACAACCUCUCUCAAGUGAUGAGAAAAUCCGCAGAAAUUUAAAGAAGUUUAAGUGUGCCACGUCGAUCCAUACACAUCGGCUCCGACCUCCCCCUUUUGGCAUCACAAUGGCCGCGCUCUGGAUACGCGCACACUACCUCGACAACCGCGGCGUCCGAGCGCAUGCACACAUCUAGGCGGGCUCUACAUGGCCACACGGCUACUACUGGCGCCAAACGCAUCUGCAAGGCAUGUGGUCAUCCUCUGCAGCGGUAGGUUGAUUAUACAUGGUGUGUGUGAAGCUUGUUUUCAAUUUAAAGGCCUAUGCAAUAUGAUCCAAAGACCUACUUGUGUAAGCACUUAUUGUCCAGCGAAUCUAUGACCUCCAUGUGCCAAGUGUUGAUACUAACAAGGAGCGAAGACAAUACGAGGAGCAUGAGAAGGCAUGAUGCCUAAAGCGAUGAUCCGAUCAAAGGACCUUAAUUAUGGAGCCUUCUUGCAUUCUUUUGGUGGAACAUAAACUGGCGAUGGGGGUGAUGUUACAUAACCACCACUACCCUGGCCUAUCCCCACACCCCCAUUCUUCUUACUUCCCAUGUUCUGAACACCGUCGGAUCCGCCCCUGCAAGUCAUUCACCCCUGCCAUGCCUGUAUUCAUGACCAAUUUCCUGGAUUCUCGGCUCUUGUCCUUAUCAACACUUGAGCUAUCAACAUUGUUUCCUUCCCUACACUACAAAAAAAAAAGACACAUCCGUGACAUUUUGGGCCAAUCGAUUUUUUUUCCUGUCAUACUUAUAACACUUCUAUGACGAUAAUUGUGACAAAACCCGGUAUCAUCAUAGAUGUGGUGGGCUUCGACUUCUAUGACAAAAAAUCAUGAUAGAAAAUGGGCUUUUCGUCCUGGGCGGGCCGGAGACGCAGCUGCAUGACAUUUUUUGGGCCGUCCAUGACGAAAAAAGCCAUGGUAGAAGCGAGGGCGAGGAAAAUAUCGGUCCCGGUUAUGGUGGGUGGUCGGGGCCGAGCGAUGCAUGGAGGUUUGUGCGUUUCUCUUGUACACGCACGCGCGUGGGUGCGAGGCGUUGGGAUCUAACUGAACCCGAGCAAGGCGUUCGCCUACUGAACCCGAGCGAUUGCACUGCAGGCUACGCGUUACUGAACCCGAGCGAUCAAUCAUGGCUAUUAACUGAACCCGAUCGAGCAAUUCCUUCGCUACUGUUGCUAACUGAAGCCGAUCGAUGCUGUCUCUGGAUGAANNNNNNNNNNNNNNNNNNNNNNNNNNNNNNNNNNNNNNNNNNNNNNNNNNNNNNNNNNNNNNNNNNNNNNNNNNNNNNNNNNNNNNNNNNNNNNNNNNNNNNNNNNNNNNNNNNNNNNNNNNNNNNNNNNNNNNNNNNNNNNNNNNNNNNNNNNNNNNNNNNNNNNNNNNNNNNNNNNNNNNNNNNNNNNNNNNNNNNNNNNNNNNNNNNNNNNNNNNNNNNNNNNNNNNNNNNNNNNNNNNNNNNNGGGGGUAGAUGAACAGGACCCCAUGGCGUUGCCUCUGGAUGAACAGGACCCCACUCGAUCGAGCCGGUUGAGGCUGGAUGAACAAGACCCCGUGGAGGGCUGAAUGAACAGGACGACCCCGUGGAGGGCUGGAUGAACAAUAGACGAUGAAGGGGUGGAUGAAUAGUAGCCCGUGGAGGGGUGUUUGAACAGGAGCCCGUGGAGAGGGCUGGUUGAACAGUAGCCGGUGGAGUAGCUGGCGGUGGAGGCUAGAUGAACAGGAGCUCGUGGAUGAACAGUCACAGGUGGAGGCUGGAGGAGGUCGACGAUGGAUGAACAGUAGCCCGUGGAGGCUAGAGGAGGUCGACGGUGGAGAUGAACAGUAUCCCGUGGAGUCCCGUUUUGCGGUACCCCACACCCUCCCGAUGAACAGGACCCCCGUUUCGACAGCAGCGCUCCAACACAAGUCUGUUUCCACCGUUUUGUGGUACGCCACACCCCUCCCGAUCAAUAGGACCCCGUUUCGACCGUAGGAGGUCCAACACAAGUCCGUUUCCUCCGUUUUGCGGUACGUCAGACCCCUCCCGAUGAACAAGACCCCGUUUCGAACGUGGCCGAUCGAACACAAGGCUGUUUCCUCCGUUCCGAGGUACGCCAGGCCUCGUUUCCAUCGGCUGUUCCGUCCAAGCCCUCCCGAUGAACACGACGACACAUUCCAUUCUGACCCAGCCGGUUGGCUCCCCAUGAACACGACGACGACGCUGUUUCUCCGUUCCGACCCAUCCAUCUACACGAGCCCUGUCCGUAUGUAUGCGCGAGUAGGCAUUCGAGACCCCGCUCGUACGUACGUACGUGGCCGUAUUUUAUUUUUUGCACGCUGGCCGCUAUACGUACAUGUACAUGCUACGUGCGUGCCUCUACUACGACACGUGCGCGCCUCUACAUCGACCAGUAUGUACGUACAUGUUCGCGACCAGAAUGACAACGCUACAUACGCUUCGACCAGGUGGGUUCCGUCUGUCAGGCACUUCCUUGCGUGCGAAGAUGUAGCUGGUGGGUCGCAGCAGUCAGGGGGCAAAUCAUUUUUUUUGCCGAUAAUAUAGACGCACUUCCUUGCGUGCGAAGAUGUAGCUGGUAGGUCCCAGCAGUCAGGGGGGAAACAUUUUUUUCGCGAAAUACGGUGGCCCGUCCGGUGGGUCCUUGCUGUCACGUGGAGGAAUCAUUAUUUUCCGCGUAAUAAGGAGGCACUUCCUUGCUGCGGUCGUGGACCCAGCUGUUAGCCUCUCCACGUAUAGUCCACGUCCGAUGGAAGUCGUUCCAUGACCACGUUGACCACACCGCGCCGAGAGCACCAGGGCGGUGGACGACGGCGAGGCCUAGGAAGGGGACAACGCAGAGCCGGGGAAGACGCGGCAGUGGAAGCCCGUGCGGAGAGGAGUACGAGGGUUUACUGGUUCGACUGCGGUGUGAGGCUGCCGUCGCCGUAGGGCCUGGCCAACGGUGGGAGUAGUAGGGGGCGGUGAGGCCUCUGCGGCAGCACAGCCGGCCACGGAAGGCAGGAGCAGGUGGCACAAUUGGCGCUGCUUUGGGCGGCUGGAGCAAGAAGACCAGAGGUUGAAGAAGCACUACGGCCAUUGGAUGAACAUCCUACGGUAACUGGAGCUAGAAUCGUUCAUAUUGACUAAGUUGACAAAGCCCUCCAUCCCUGUCAACUUAGUAGGCCCACAAGUCAGCAUCCACUAUGCUGGGUCCCAGCUAGCAGGGGGAGUAUUCAUUUUUUUGUGCAUAAUAAGGAGGCACUUCCUUGCGUGCGAAGAUAUAGCUAGUGGGUCCGACCUGUCAACGGGGGAACAUUUUUUUCACGAAAUACAGAGGCCCUUCCGGUGGGUCUCAGAUGUCAGCUAGAGGAAUCAUUAUUUUGCACGUAAUAAGGAGACAUUUCCUUGUGUGCGGCCGUGGACCCAGCUGUCAGCCUCUCCACAUACAGUCCACGUGCGAUGGAAGUCGUUCCAUGACCACGUUGACCACGCCAUGCCGAGAGCACCAGGGCGGUGGACAACGGUGAGGCCUAGGAAGGGGACAACGCGGAGCUAGGGAAGACGCGUAAGUGGAUGCCCACAUGGAGAGGAGUACGAGUGUUCACUGGUUCGGCUGCGGUGUGAGGCUGCCUUCGCCGCAGGGCCUGGGUUAGCAGUGGGAGUAGUAGAGGGCGGUUGAGGGCUCAAUGGUAGCACAACUGGCAACUGGAGGCAGGAGCAGGCGGUCUCGCCGGCGCUGGUUUGGGCGGCUGGUGCAAGAAGAGCAGCGAUUGAAGAAGCAACAGGACUGUUCGAUUCAAAUCCAACGGUUACUGAUGAGGGUAUAGACUUAGGGUAGGGUCACAUGCCUGACCUAGGUGCCCCACCCAAGGUCACUACCCUAGAAGCAAAGAAACCCAAGAGAUAACGGGAAGUGCCCAAGGAAGGCGUCGAGUGUAAGUCACUCGACGACCACAUCACUCGGGAACCCCAAUUUUAUGAAGAUCACUCGACCUAUGAAGACCAAGAGUCAGUCGGAAUCACAACGGUCGGACGUUCACUCUGUAGUCUUUAUAGGCAUUAAUUGUACUUAAAGUUGGCGUUAUUAGUAACAUCCCUCCUUAAUGAACAUUGAACCCUCUGUAACAGAGGGGAGCUGGGGCCCUGGCACACUCUAUAUAAGCUACCCCCCUCCUCUGGGACAAGGGUUUGCACCCCCUGUAACGUCACACACAUAUAAUCCAGUCGACCGCCUCCGGGCACCGAGACGUAGGGUUAUUACUUCCUCUGAGAAGGGCCUGAACUCGUAAAUCCCUUGUGUACACCUUCACCAUAGCUGAGAUCUUGCCUCUCCAUACCUACCCCCCUUUCUACUGUCAGUCUUAGAACCACGACAGUUGGCGCCCACCGUGGGGCAGGUGUCUUAGCGACUUGUUGGUGAAGUUGCAAUUUUUUUCUGAUCCCCAUCAUCAUGGUUUCCGGCGGUGGUUUGGCUGAGGGGCGCGAGAUCCGUCUCGGCGCACUCGUUUUCAUCGCCGACGACUCUGCUUGGCUUCAAGAAGCUCCCCUUGACGUCGAGGCGCUCCCCGUCCGAGGGGCGACGCACUUUCGCGCGUGCAUUCACGGCGUCCUUCUCCGGCAGCCGUCGACUCAGUAUCAGUCAGCUCCAAUGGUGUCGUCUCCCCCCGCUGUUCGCCACCAGAAGCGAUCUGGUCGGUCACGGCUUCAGCGGUGGGUGAAACACGCAAUGGCUCGACAUUCGGCCACCCAUCAAGUUGCGGCAAUUGAGCCCGACGAAACUCUCUACGGCAUGUUCGAUCUGUCGACUAGCUCCGCCGAGACCGCAUCCGAGUGCGAUAGUAGCGAUCCUGCGGCUGAAGUGUUGAUGGUCGAUGGACCACAUAGUCCAUCUGGUGUCCCCCGUGGAGACGGCGGGAAUGGGGGCGGUGAUCCGUCGCGCGUCCACGAGGAGUACCAUCCCGAACCCCUCUCUUCAUAGCAGAGGGAAGAACUUCGGCACCGCAAUAUGGAUGCACUCCACACACCCAUCGUUGGAGAAACCCCCGAGGUUCGGGCCUUGGAAGCGACGCGCUUGGCUAAUUUGGCUGAGCACACUCGAUUGGAAAAACCUCCAGCAUGCUCUCGACGAGCGUGCUCGGGAAUGGAUUCCCGAGUCCAGUCGACGACAGCUUUUCCCACCUCCACCUAAGGUAUACCACACUCUGAUUCAAAAUCUCAUAGCUGCAACCCGAAUAGCAGAGUAAAUUCAACCUUCCCAGUCAGAGGCUGGCAGAGGUUUGAUGCAGAUCCGGGCCUUACUCCGGGCAGCAGGAGAGCUGAACACAGUGGUGUCUCAGUUGCGGGGUUAAGAUUCAUAGCAGAUCCGUGGUGGUGGAUACUGUCCAGUCGGCCCACAAUCCAAGAUUGCCCCUGCGACGUGAGGGCCGUGGGCAGUAUGAUCACCGACUCGACCGCGACAAUCAUCAUCGGAUGCCGACACCUCCUCUGAGGAGUACAUCAUAUGCGCCUCGGCAGUACGAUGAUAGACGCCUUCACAGCAACGAACAUAGAGCAUCAGUCAACCCAAGGGAGCCAGGCUUUGAUGCAAGAUCUAUUCUCGUUCAAGGUUUAGUCGACCGGAACGGAGCGCAGAGGGAAGACCUUGGUAGAGAUCGCCCGACUGGCAACAGGGUUCAUGUUUUAGGUCCAGAGUGUUUUAGCAGAGCCAUUAGGGCUGUAGUGAUUCCCCCCAACUUCAAGUUGGCGACUGGAGUCAGCAAGUUCACUGGGAUGUCCAAGCCUGAAACUUGGCUUGAAGACUACCGAGUGGCUGUACAGAUUGGUGGCAGGAAUGAUGAAGUGGCAAUAAAGCAUCUUCCUCUGAUGUUAGAAGGAUCAGCCAGAGCAUGGUUGACUCAAUUAGCCCCGAACAGUAUAUACAGUUGGGAAGAACUUGCUCGAGUGUUUGUCAGAACUUUUGAGGGCACUUGCAAGCGGCCAGCGGGGUUGACAGAAUUGCAACAUUGUGUGCAGAAACUGAGUGAGACUCUGAGGGAUUUCAUUCAGAGGUGCACCACUUUGCAUCUCAUAGUGGAGAAUGUAUCUGAACAUCAAGCACUGUGUGCCUUCAAAGAAGGCGUUAAAUACUGAGAACUGGUCCUGAAGUUCGGUCGGACUGGGGAUAUGACUCUGACUCGGAUGAUGGAGAUAGCCACCCGGUAUGCUAACGGAGAAGAAGAGGAUCGACUCCGUAGCGGAAAGGGCAAACCAGUCGGCUAGGACGCCGACGGAAUUAAUUCCAGUCGGAAACAAAAACGUAAGGCCGAGCCCACGGCACCCGGUAAAAUUGCGGCAGUGGUUCAAGGAAAGUUUAAAGGGAAACCUAAGGGGCCCUGGACCCCUAAGAAGGUAAAGGACCAAGCGGGAAAUGAUGUGUUGGAUUUGCCAUGUCACAUUCACAUGAAGAAGGAUGAAGAGGGUAAUCUGAUUUACCCUAAACACACCACUCGACAAUGUCGACUCCUGAUCCAGCAGUUCCAAAGAGUUGGACAAAGACGAGGAUGAAGAAGAAGAUGAUGGUUAUCCCAAAGUCAAUUCCACCCUGAUGAUCUUUGCUGAUGUUGAGAGCAAGAGUCGAUUGAAAGUUAUCAACAGAGAAGUGAACAUGGUUGCCCCGGCAACAAUGACUACAUACCUGAAAUGGUCCCAAACAACCAUCAUGUUCGACCAGUCUGAUCACCCUGCGCAUAUAGCCAUCCCUGGGAGGCAAGCGUUGGUGGUCGACCCAGUGGUCGAAGGCACUCGACUGACCAAAGUGCUAAUGGAUGGUGGUAGCGGCAUGAAUAUCCUUUAUGCUGAAACCUUGAAGGGGAUGGGCAUUCUGAUGUCCAAACUUAGCGAGAGCAAUAUGAGUUUCCAUGGCGUUAUCCCUGGAAAGAAAGCCAAAUCACUCGGCCAGAUCGCCCUUGACGUGGUUUUCGGUGAUUCCAAGAAUUACCGUAAGGAAAAGUUGACAUUUGAAGUUGUGGAUUUCUAGAGUGCUUAUCAUGCCAUUCUGGGUAGGCCUGCCUACGCAUGUUUUAUGGCUCGACCAUGUUACGUGUACCUCAAGUUGAAGAUGCCUGGCCCCAGAGGUGUGAUCACGGUUACUGGCAAUCGGCAAAAGGUGGAGGAAUGCUUCCAGAAGGGUUCCAAGAUUGCCGAUGCGCAAAUGGCAGCAGUUGAAUUUCAAGAAUAUCAGAAGAAUGCAGAUCCGAGCGAUUUACUCCGAGCUAAGAGACCUGCCACAGAUUCUGCAUUUCAGUCGUCCGGUGAAACAAAGCCGAUUCAUAUUCACCCGACCGAUCCCAAUGCCGCACCGACUCAUAUCUCAACAACACUCGACAACAAAUAGGAAGAAGCACUCAUCCAGUUCCUCCGUGAGAACUGGGACAUCUUCGCAUGGAAACCUUCUGACAUGCCGGGUGUACCCAGAGAACUGGCUGAGCACCGUUUGCGCGUCGAUCCCAAGAUAAAACCUGUCAAAUAGCAUCUUUGAUGGUCCGCCGUGCAGAAGAGGAAGGCAAUUGGCGAGGAAGUGGCUCAGCUCCUAGCAGCAGAGUUCAUCCGAGAGAUCUACCACUCCGAGUGGCUUGCCAAUGUGUUCAUGGUCCCUAAGAAGGACGAUUCACUUUGUAUGUGCAUCGAUUUCAAGCAUAUCAACCGGGCCUUCCUGAAUAAUCAUUUCCCUCUCCCCCGCAUCGAUCAAAUUGUUGACUCGACUGUGGGGUGCGAGCGCUUGUCUUUUUUAGAUGCAUAUUCCGGGUACCAUCAGAUCCGACUGUAUGGUCCCGAUGAAAUAAAAACGGCUUUCAUCACCCCAUUUGGGUGCUUUUGCUAUGUCACCAUGCCAUUUGGUCUUAAAGAUGCCGGAGCCACAUUCAUCAGGAUGAUUCAGAGUGCCUGCUCACCCAGAUCAGUCGGAAUGUGUAAGCAUACAUGGAUGACAUUAUGGUCAAGUCUCGUAAAGGUUCCGACCUACUAACUGACCUUGCCAACCUUUGCCAACCUAAGAAGGUAUGAUAUCAAGCUUAAUCCGUCAAAGUGCACAUUCGGAGUUCCAGGUGGAAAGUUACUUGGUUUCCUCGUUUCCGAGCGAGGGAUUGAUGCCAAUCCAAAAAAAGUCGAUACCAUCCUUCGAAUGAAACGCCCUGUGCGUGUGCAUGACGUUCAGAAGCUUACUGGUUGUUUGGCCGCCUUGAGUUGAUUCAUCUCUCGUCUCGGUGAAAAGGCCUUGCCUCUCUACCGAUUGAUGAAAAAAUCUAAUAAGUUCGAGUGGACCGGUGAAGCUGAAGCAGCAUUCACAGAGCUCAAAACCCUGCUUUCCACCCAGCCAGUGCUUGCUGCACUAAUCAGCAAAGAACCUUUACUGCUUUACAUUGCAGCCACUGGACAAGUUGUCAGUACCGUACUCACGGUCGAGCAAGAAGAAGAAGGAAAAGCUUACAAAGUUCAGCGCCUAGUGUAUUAUCUCUCUGAAGUUUUAACUCCAUCCAAGCAGCAAUACCCACAUUAUCAGAAGCUUGUCUAUGGAAUAUACAUGACCAUGAAGAAGGUUGCGCACUAUUUCUCUGAUCACUCCAUUACAGUCGUCAGUGACGCACCAUUAUCUGAAGUUCUGAACAACAGAGAUGCAACUGGUCGAGUGGCAAAAUGGGCGAUUGAACUUCUUCCAUUGGAUAUCAAGUUUGAGGCAAAGAAAGCCAUCAAGUCCUAGGCAAUCAUAGAUUUUCCUGCCGAGUGGGUUGAGCAGCAACUGCCGACUCAGGUUCACUCGGAGCAUUGGACCAUGUUCUUAGACGGCUCCAAGAUGCUGAAUGGUUCCGGUGCUGGGGUAGUUUUGGUAUCCUCCUGUGGAGGUAAGCUUAGCUAUGUUGUCCAGAUUCAUUUUGAUUCCUCCAACAAUGAAGCUGAAUAUGAAGCACUUUUAUACAGGCUGCGUAUGGCCAUUUCACUUGGCGUCCGUCACUUUAUGGUCUACGGUGACUCAGAUUUGGUGGUUAAUCAAGUGAUGAAAGAGUGGGAUAUCAGGAGCCCGGCCAUGACUGGCUAUUGUAAUGCGGUAAGAAAGUUGGAAAAGAAGUUUGAAGGGUUGGAGCUCCACCAUAUACCCCGACUGAAAAAUCAAGUCACAGAUGAGUUGGCUAAGAUAGGAUCUAAGAGGGAAGCCAUUCCCAGCAACGUGUUUUUGGAGCAUAUUCACUCACCUUCAGUUCAGGAAGAUCCUUUCACUGAAUAGCCCCCACAACCUAAGAGCACCACUAAUCUGACUGAAGUCGAAAUCCCAGCCGUGGUUGACUUAGUCAUGGAGGUUUUUGUUGUCACUCCCGACUGGACAGUGCCAUACGUUGCAUACAUUCUUAGGAAAGAACUUCCAGAGGAUGAAGAAGAGGCUCGACAGAUCGUCCCGCGAUCUAAAGCCUUUACUGUGAUAAAAGGUCAAUUGUUCAGAGAAAGUGUAAUUGGAGGCUGCCAGAAAUGCAUCAUGCCAGAAGAAGGCCGAAUGAUCCUCAAUGAUAUUCACUCGAGGACCUAUGGUCACCAUGUGUCCUCUUGGACCAUCGUGGCCAAAGCAUACCGAGCCGGAUUUUACUGGCCACAUGCGAACGAGAUGGCAAAAGAAAUAGUAGACAAAUGUGAAGGCUGUCAGUUUUACUCCAACAUGUUCCGUAAGCCAGCGUCAGCUCCGAAAACUAUUCCAAUCGUCUGGCCUUUCACUGUUUGGGGAUCGGAUAUGGUUGGGCCUCUGAGGACUAGCAGGAGCGGAUUUACCCAUGUGUUGGUAGUAGUCGACAAGUUUACCAAAUGGAUCGAAGCCAAGCCUGAAGCAAGUACAGCUGUAAGUUUCAUCAGAGAAUUGAUAUUUAGAUAUGGUGUUCCGCACAGCAUCAUCACGGAUAAUGUAUCAAACUUCGACUCUGACGAUUUCAGAGCCUUUUAUGCUUCCCAAGGCAUGAGGGUCGAUUACGCUUCAAUCGCCCAUCCUCAGUCGAAUGGACAGGCUGAAAGAGCAAAUGGUUUGAUUCUCAAAGGACUGAAACCCUGAUUGAUGUGUGACCUCAAGCAUGCAACAGGUGCCUGGGUCGAUGAACUUCCAUCAGUACUUUGGGGAUUGAGGACAACUCCUAAUCGGCCGACUGGACGAACUCCAUUCUUCUUAGUCUACGGAGCUGAAGCUGUACUCCCGAGUGACCUGCUCCACAAUGCGCCCCGAGUCGAGCUCUUCUCAGAAGAAGAAGCAAAACAGGCUCGGCAAGAUGCAGUCGAUCUCCUGGAAGAAAGAGAGAUGGCCUUGAUUCAGUCGACCGUUUAUCAACAAGACCUGCGUCGAUUCCAUGCCAGAAACGUAAGAGGUCGGGCAUUUCAGGAGGGAGACUUGGUUCUUCGAGUGGACCAGCAGAAACCACACAAGCUCGCUCCUGCUUGGGAAGGCCCCUUCGUCGUCACCAAAGUGCUCCACAACGGAGCAUAUCGUCUUUUCAACGUCGAGCACAAUAAAGAUGAGCCACACGCUUGGAAUGCGGAACUGCUCCUCCCCUUUUACUCUUAAGCAUUCAGACUGUUGAGAUGUAAUAAGAAAUACCUUUUAGUUUGAUUAUCAAAGACAUGAUUUAAAGUCUUCCAAAUAGUUUUUGUUCAUUUUUUGCAUAUUCUAAAAUCCCCCAGUGGGUGGCUUAGCUGCGAAUCCAUUGCGCCUAAGUAGGAAAAAAAUCCUAGCGAGUGGCGAGCGAUCCUCUCGCUCGGGGGCUUAGCUGUAGUCCAGAACUCGCCUAAGUAUAAAAAAAUCCUACCUAGUGGCGAGCCUGCCUCUCGCUCGGGGGCUUAGCUGCAGUCCAGUACCCGCCUAAGUAUAAAAAAUCCUACCGAGUGGCAAGAAAUCCUCUCACUCGGGGGCUUAGCUGCAGUCCACUACUCGCCUAAGUAUAAAAANNNNNNNNNNNNNNNNNNNNNNNNNNNNNNNNNNNNNNNNNNNNNNNNNNNNNNNNNNNNNNNNNNNNNNNNNNNNNNNNNNNNNNNNNNNNNNNNNNNNNNNNNNNNNNNNNNNNNNNNNNNNNNNNNNNNNNNNNNNNNNNNNNNNNNNNNNNNNNNNNNNNNNNNNNNNNNNNNNNNNNNNNNNNNNNNNNNNNNNNNNNNNNNNNNNNNNNNNNNNNNNNNNNNNNNNNNNNNNNNNNNNNNNNNNNNNNNNNNNNNNNNNNNNNNNNNNNNNNNNNNNNNNNNNNNNNNNNNNNNNNNNNNNNNNNNNNNNNNNNNNNNNNNNNNNNNNNNNNNNNNNNNNNNNNNNNNNNNNNNNNNNNNNNNNNNNNNNNNNNNNNNNNNNNNNNNNNNNNNNNNNNNNNNNNNNNNNNNNNNNNNNNNNNNNNNNNNNNNNNNNNNNNNNNNNNNNNNNNNNNNNNNNNNNNNNNNNNNNNNNNNNNNNNNNNNNNNNNNNNNNNNNNNNNNNNNNNNNNNNNNGCAGUCCAGUACUGGCCUAAGUAUAAAAAAUCCUACUGAGUGGCGAGCAAUCCUCUCACUCGGGGGCUUAGCUGCAGUCCAGUACUCGCCUAAGUAUAAAAAAUCCUACCGAGUGGCGAGCAAUCCUCUCACUCAGGGGCUUAGCUGCAGUCCAGUACUCGCCUAAGUAUGAAAAAUCCUACUGAGUGGCGAGCGAUCCACUCGCUCGGGGGCUUAGCUGCAGUCCAGUGAUACGUCUCCAACGUAUCUAUAAUUUUUGAUUGUUCCAUGCUAUUAUAUUACCCCUUUUGGAUGUUUAUGGGCUUUAUUUUAUACAUUUAUAUCAUUUUUGGGACUAACCUACUAACCGGAGGCCUAGCCCGUAUUGCUGUUUUUUUGCCUAUUUCAAUAUUUUGAAGAAAAGGAAUAUCAAACGGUGUCCAAACGGAAUGAAACCUUUAGGAGCGUGAUUUUUGGAACGAACGUGAUCUAGAGGACCUGGAGUGCAAGUCAAGAAGCAGCCGAGGCGUCCACGAGAGGGGAGGGCGCGCCCACCCCUACAGGGUGUCCCCUGUCUCAUGUGCCCCUCGGGCAGCCACCGACGUACUUCUUCCUCCUAUAUAAGCCUAUGUACCCGGAAAACAUCCAGGGAGCCACCGAAACACAAUUUCCACCGCCGUAACCUUCUGCAUCCACGAGAUCCCAUCUUGGAGCCUUCGCCGGUGCUCCGCCGGAGGGGGAAUCGACCACGGAGGGCUUCUACAUCAACACCAUAGCCCCUCCGAUGAGUUGUGAGUAGUUUACCACAGACCUUCGGGUCCAUAGUUAUUAGCUAGAUGUCUUCUUCUCUCUUUUUGGAUCUCAAUACAAUGUUCUCCCCCUCUCUUCUGGAGAUCUAUUCGAUGUAAACUCUUUUUGCGGUGUGUUUGUCGAGAUCCAAUGAAUUGUGGGUUUAUGAUCAAGUUUAUGUAUGGGAAAUAUUUGAAUCUCCUCUGAAUUCUUUUAUGUAUGAUUGAGUUAUCUUUGCAAGUCUCUUCGAAUUAUCAGUUUGGUUUGGCCUACUAGAUUGAUCUUUCUUGCCAUGGGAGAAGUGCUUAGCUUUGGGUUCAAUCUUGCGGUGUCCUUACCCAGUGACAGAAAGGGUUGCAAGUCACGCAUUGUAUUGUUGCCAUCGAGGAUAAAAAGAUGGGGUUUAUAUCAUAUUGCAUGAGUUUAUCCCUCUACAUCAUGUCAUCUUGCUUAAUGCGUUACUCUGUUCUUUAUGAACUUAAUACUCUAGAUGCAGGCAGGAGUCGGUCGGUGUGUGUCACGACCGGUUUUCCAAUAAAACGCUUAUUGAGAAACCGACCCUUAUAUAGACCAGUAUAGGAAAAAUCUCCUUACUGGUAGACAAAUCCUUGAUAUAGAAAUCCAGAAGUACUAAUUAUUGUACAAGGCUGAGCUGAGGCUGCUCAACAAUUUAUUACAAGCACGCCAAUAAUAUACAUAAAGGCGGAUAUGGCACACGGAGUAUGGUGGCAUACUACUGACUCGUAAUAAAAGUGGUGGUGGAUAUGUCACAGUGACGUGGAUGACACGAGUCCUAAAUCUUACAGCUCAUCGAGAGCUGGAGUGAGGCUCGAUGAAUUUAUUUGGGUAGCGGAAGCGUAUAUGAUACAAGUGACCAAUUCCAGGAUCGCACGAGACUGACUGGGACUCCUCUAGGCGUCGGACUCGCUAUCGUAUUCUUCAUCCAUAAGAUCACCUUCGUCGAUGUCUGGCCAAAUCAACAAGCUAGGUGAGUACUUUGAAUGUACUCGCAAGACAGUUUGGACAUAAGAUAUAACAAAUGCAAACAUGAUGCACAUGAGCAGAUUAGUAAUGCACACUCAAAUAAUAAAUUUGCACGACAGGUUAAUUAAAAAGGAAGUCAGGCGGUAGUCCUCCCGAGAUCCCAAAAAAUAACUGAAAACCGAUCGGGUGUCUGAAGCAACGCCUCGAAAGGUAGAAAUAAAUUAACAUGCCACAGUCGGGCGUGUGAGCGACACCACAUAAAGGGCUUAUACAAAAAUGUAAAUGACAGUGCGUGACACAGUCGGACGUCUACGCGACACCUCGGAAAGGGCUUAUAAUGAAAGUAAAUAAUAGGGAUGCCACAGUCGGACGUCUGAGCGACAUCACAUAAACGACUUAUAUUGAAAGUAAAUAACAAGAGUGCCACAGUCGGAUGUCUGGGCGACAUCACAUAAAGGGCUUAUAUCAAAAGUAAAUAACAAGAGUGCCACAGUCGGAUGUCUGAGCGACAUCACAUAAAGGGCUUAUAUUGGAAGUAAAUAACGAGAGUGCCAUAGUCGGACGUCUGAGCGACAUCUCAUAAAGGGCUUAUAUUUCAUCAUCUGAACUCAAGUUGUUCAUGAAAUUAAGUCAUUCCAAGAAAAUACUCAGUGAUAAUAAGCAGGUUAGUCCAUCCACAAGAAUAACAUUCAGCCGGGUUUACCACUCAUGUUUGUUCACCGGAGAUUGUCACUGAAACUGACACUGAGACUGACAUAGAUAAGUUGAUUAUAGUCCUUGACUAUAGAUAUGGUUACUCGAAUGAUUUUGACUCUGCAGAGUUUGUACUAUUUAACCACUGCCAACGGAUUUCAGUAGUCACAAAGGACUAGUUCCGUUUACGGUAUUUCAGAAGAAACUCAUCUAACCAGUACACACCCAUUCCACAUCCCGAUGCCAGGAAUCACCCUAGGCAACAUUCAAGAAAAACUUUGAGACAGGGAGGCCACAACCUCGAGUAGCAUGGGAUCAAAUUUAUAUCGCGCGCUCUAAGGGGUGCCCCCCUCUCGGUCCCAACCAGAAACACCCAUGCCCCCUGACCGGAUGACUGGCUUUAAUCUAGGGCCAUGGAACCCUCAUCACGGCCCCUCGAUUUGGUGUGUACGAGGAAAGAGGUUUGCAACCUACUAGACCAUAUUCUUUGCAGAAAACAUGUGGUAGCACACAAAAAGGGGAAGGACGGUAACGUGACUUGAUCCACGUUAACACUGGAGUCAAAUGGUUUGGCAUAAGACUGGCAUGCUUCAACAAUACCAUCUUACCACCUUUCAUGUCACCACAUGAUCAUGUUAUCUCCCAUCAAAUAACACAUCGAGUUUCGAAGCUCACUUGUAGUUGCUUUGCAUGCAAUAUAACACUUACUGAUGCUUAUAUAAACAUGCCAUGAAGGAACUACUCAAGCAAACAUGCAAAACACUCAUCAUAUCAAAGGUUCAAACAUGCUUGCCUGGUUCGGAGUAGUCGGAGUCUAGCUCGACGAAGUUCGCGGUUCCAUCACCUCCUCCGGUAUCUAUGGUAUAAAGAAAUCGCAUACUAACGUAAAUACCGUGUGUGCACAAAAAGUGUUCCAAAUAUUUUUCAAUUAAAUAUGAUAAAAAACUAGAUAGAAAAAUAAAGAUGACAGAAAAAGAAUUAAUUCGAAAUCAUCUUUUGUUUAAAAGUUAUUUAGGUUUUAGUCUAGGGACUCAUCUCUAAUGAAACAGAAAGUUUCCAGGGGGUAGUUUAUAAAAAGACAGAAAACGUUUCAGUUAGAAAGCGUAUUUUUCCCAAAGGCAUUUUUCAGAAAACGGUUCAAAAAGAAGAAAAAGCUGACGAGGGGGUCCCACCCGUCAGGUUUGAAUCUUCAAAACAAAGUCACCGGCGCCCGAGGGCUGCGGUGGUCGCCGGCGGCGAUCCACGGCGAGGUAGGGGGAAAGGAGGGUACCUACGGGUUCACUGAGUCCUUCCGCACCUGUGGGUGGUGGAUUUGGUCAUCGGCGAGCACCACGUUGACGGCAGCCUCUACUCCGGCGGACGGCGGUUCGGGUGGUGAUGGGUCUUGUCAAGGAGGGUUGCAACCUUCGGAUUGAAGCUUGGGUUAGAAGCGUGGGUGCACUAGGAGGUGGCUGACAAGGUAUGGGAGGCGGGGUUGCUCUCACCGGAGCGGAUCUUGCCGGAGCCCGAAGCGGAUCGGGGCGGCCGGAGUCGGGGAAGAAGGCCUCCCCGAGGUCUUCCUAGUAGCUAGGCGUGGCUCUGGUGAGGUGGAGGGGUGAUGCUUGGCCGAGAUCGAGCUUGAGGCCCCCUUCUAUAGCCGACCCGAGGCGGUUGCCGCGAUCGGGAUUACUCCGGCGGUGAUUACCGUGAGGCGGUGGUUGAACGGGAGGUUUAGGGGUCGGGGCAGCUGCGGAGAGGUUCACUGGUUCCAUCCCGAGGCUAAGUUUGGCAAAACUUGGGCGCUACUCCACGCUCUCGACGGAAUGGCCUCAUGGGGCUCGUCGGCGGCAGAGAGCGCGCUCUGUGCCUCUCUAGCCACGGCGACGGUGCCGCAGCAUGCACAUGCAAGUGGACAGCCACGCGGAGGCUUCGGGUGGCUUGGGCGGUGCUGGACGGCGCCGAAAGGUGGCGAUGGUCCUUGCUGGCCGCCACGGGUGGCUCUGCCACCGCAGAAGAUGCCGGCGAUGUGGUGCCACGUCGCCACCGACACCUACGCCCGUCUAAACAAUCGUGCGGUGCUCUGGAUAAGAAGAAGGAGCAGUGCGCAAUGAUCCAAGGUGGCUACUGGCGAGAUUGUCGACGGGUUCUGAUGAAAAUGACACCGCCGACUGAAACUGAACACUGAAACUAAACUUUUCUGAAUUUUGCUAGAAAACAGUGCAUGCCAGGUGUUCGAUGAAAUGUUUUUGGCAUGUGGAAAUUUCUUCUGGAGUUGAUCUUUGGUGAGGUGACCUCUCAAUGCACCUUGGGACUGCCUGAUUUAUCUCAGAAUUUUUGGAGAAGAAAAUUAUUGAAUUUCACCAAAAAUGGCAAAUCUGGUCCAAACUUGCAGCAAGCAAAGUUUGAAAAAUUUGAAUUGUGGAAGAGUGGAUCUUGAUGGAUCUAGGUUGGGGGUACUAAGGACUAGUCAGGGGAGUUUGUUUGGGACCAAAAAUCAAAAGGGUUCUGGUGGUUCCUUUGUAAAUCACCUAGGUCCAAAAUAAAAGACAUAAAUUGUUUUGAGGGUAAAAUAAAUAGAACAAAAAUAAAAAAUGGGUUGAACUUGCUGGGAUUGGAUGUUUGGCUUGACCCAUAGUGGAGGGAGGGGUUUUGGAAGAAAAUUUCAACAUGGGACAAGGCAAAAGAGAAAUCUUUAAAAGGUAAAAAUAAUAAAAACCAAAAUCCAUAGGAUUUCUUUUUAAUAGAAAUAAUUGCAAAACCCUCCAAUAUUAUUUGUGUUGAGCCAACACAAUUUUUAAAAAUCCUUAAGACUGAAGAUCAAGGUUGAGAAGGUCCUUUCAAAAAAAAAUUUGUCAUAAAAGAUUUUGAGAAGGAGAGUCCCUCUAAAAAAAUUCAAAUAACCUCCUUUAAAUCAAAUAAAGAUUUUAAUAAAAAUCAAAUAAAAAUUUUGGGGUGUUACAGCACCUACCCCCUUAGGAAAAAUCUCAUCCCCGAGAUUUCAGCUGAUCCUCAAAGAGGUGUGGAUAUUUGUCCAAAGUAAAUCCUCUCUUUACCACGUUGCUUCAUCCUCGGUGUGAUUGCUCCACUGAACUUUGAAAAACUUAAUUGUUUUCUGACAGGUCCUCCUUUCAGACUCCUCCAAUAUUUUUAUUGGAUGUUCCCUGUAGGUGAGGUCUGGUUGCAUGUCAAUGUCCUCAUGAGAUACAUGCUUCUCUGUGUUGCUUACACACUUCCUCAACUGUGAGACGUGGAACACGUCGUGGACGUCUGACAGUUCUUCGGGUAGGUCUAGCUGGCAGGCUACUGUGCCUCUUCGCGCGACUAUGCAGAAGGGUCCGAUGUGGUGCUAGCUUUCCUUUAACUUUGAACUGUUGCAGGCCCCUCAUAGGAGAUACUCGUAGGUACACAUAUUCGCCGGGUUCAAAGCCGACUCCCCGAUGUUUUCGAUCAUAAUAACUCUUCUGUCGGCUUUGAGCUGUCUUGAGUCGGUCCCUGAUUAGCCUAACUUUCUCCUCAACUUCCUUGAGCAUGUCUGGGCUGAAGAUAUGACUAUAUCCUGUUUCUGACCAAUUUAAUGGGGUAUGACAUCUCCGCCCGUACAAGGCUUCAAAAGGUGCCAUUUGUAGGCUGGCUUGGUAACUGUUGUUGUAGGCGAACUCGACAUAUGGCAAGCUUUCCUCCCAACUGGUUUCAUAGGUGAGAACACAUGCUCUCAGCAUGUCCUCUAGAAUUUGGUUCACGCAUUUAGUUUGCCCAUCAGUCUGGGGGUGGUAUGCUGUACUGAAUGCCAGUUGAGUUCCCAGAGCUUGUUGUAAUAUAUCCCAAAAUCUAGAGACGAACUGAGUACCUCUGUCGGAUAUCGUCUUUGGGAUUCCAUGCAGACAAACUAUACGGGAGAGAUAAAGCUUGGCAAGUUUCUGAGUGGUGUGGGUUGUCUUUAUUGGGAUGAAAUGUGCUACCUUAGUCAAUCUAUCUGUGAUGACCCAUAUGGCAUCAUUUCCGUAUCGUGACCAAGGUAGUCCGACAAUAAAAUCCAUUCCAAUUUCGUCCCAUUUCCACUCAGGUAUCCUGUUUGGCUGUAAUAGCCCUGCUGGUUUUUGGUGCUCGGCUUUUAUGCGCUGACAUGAAUCACAACAUGCAAUGAAUGUGGCUAUAUCCCUUUUCAUACCGUGCCACCAAAUUUUUUCCUGAAUGUCCUUGUACAUUUUGGUCCCUCUAGGAUGGAUUGAAUAUGGAGCGGUGUGGCCUUCGGCUAGAAUUUGCUGCUUGAGGUCUUCUAUAUUUGGUACGCAAAGUCUGUCUCCGUACCAUAAUAUUCCGUUAUCGUCUAUGACAAAUUCUUAGGCCUUGCCCAAACUCACUUUUCUUUUUAUGCCUUCGAUGUUGGGGUGUCCAUGCUGAGCCCCCUUAAUCUGUUGCAUUAGGGUAGGCCGUAUUUCCAAAUUCGACACAUUGCCUUCAGUGACCAUUACCAAGUUGAGUUUAGCGAACUCCUGCUGAAAUUCAGGUCUCAAGUUUGGUAGACUGUCGUUGCCCGAGCUGGGGUUCCGACUAAGAGCAUCUGCCACUACAUUCGCUUUUCCUGGAUGGUAGUGAAUGCCAACAUCAUAAUCCUUCACUAAUUCCAACCAGCGUCGUUGUCGUAAAUUGAGUUCUGGUUGUGUGAAAAUAUAUUUGAGGCUUUUAUGGUCUGUAUAUAUUUCACAAUGAUUCCCAAGCAAAAAGUGCCUCCACUCUUUGAGUGCAUGAAUGACUGCUGCCAACUCUAAGUCAUGAGUAGGAUAAUUUUCUUCAUGCUUUCGUAGUUUCCUAGAAGCGUAUGCUACUACUUUGCCUUCUUGCAUUAAUACACAUCCGAGGCCCUUCCGGGAUGCGUCACAAUACACCUCAAAACUUUUGUGUAUGUCUGGUACAACCAAUACUGGUGCUGUUGUUAAUUUCCUUUUGUGUUCUUGGAAACUUUUCUCGCAAGCCUCAGUCCACACAAAUUUCUUAUCCUUCUUGAGUAACUGGGUUAUUGGUUUUGCUAUGGUGGAGAACCCUUCAAUAAACCUUCGGUAAUAUCCUGCCAUUCCCAAGAAACUUUGUACAUCUGUUACGCUGGCGGGUGGUUUCCAACUAAGUACGGCCUUGACCUUUUCUGGGUCUAUGGCAACACCUUCUUGGGUCAAUACAUGGCCUAGAAAACCAACCUGUCUUAACCAAAAUUCACAUUUGCUGAAUUUGGCGUAUAGUUGAUGUUUCCUUAAUUCUCCCAGUACAAUUCCGAGAUGUUCAACAUGCUCUUCUGGUGUCUUGGAGUAUACCAGAAUAUCAUCAAUGAACACCACAACAAAUUUGUCCAUAAAUUUCAUAAACACUUUGUUCAUGAGGUGGACAAAAUAUGCGGGGGCGUUCGUCAGUCCAAACGGCAUUACUGUAAACUCAUAUAGUCCGUAUCUGGAGGUGAAUGCUGUCUUGGGGAUAUCUUCUGUCCGUACUUUUAAUUGA